CCAAAAAUGGGACCCUUCCUUGAGCUAAGGACACGCGAAAAGCAUGAUUCUUUCCCAUCUUCAAAAAUCUGACCCUUUGGCAAUAAAAAGGGAACAAAACAACAAGAACGAGGAGAUUUCCACACCCAAGCUCCCAUACACACACGCGAAAAUCCCCAGACUCCCCCUUUUUGGUCUUCGAUCAAAUUCCUCUGCACAUCCCUUCACUUCCCUGAUUUUCCACACCAUAACACAAGCCUCUUCUCAAAAUAGCAAAAAAGGCCCUCCCCCUUCCGCACGUCAGAUUCCCAAAACCAAAUAUCCCGAGAUCUGAGAGCUAAAAAAAACGAGGUUACACCCCUGCUUUGUAUUUUUCAUUUUCACUCAACAAUGGAGGCCACCUAAAAUCUCCAGCUCCCUUUCUUCUAUUACUUCCUCAUCUUCUCGAAAUACAUACUCUUAUUUGGAAUGGAAGAUGGAGACAAAAUAAUUUGAAAGAAGAAAAGGCAGAAUCUGAAUUUUCCAAAGGGAACUUGAAAAAAUUGGUUUCAAUUCUCAACCUCUUCUUUCUCUGGUCUGUCAAGCUGUGGAAGUAGAGUUAAUGGCUUUUGUAUGCUGAUUUUCGUUGUUGUGCUGCUGUUCUGUUGAGUUCUUCUUCGUUUUUUUGAGGUAUGUACGUUCGUUCCCUCAGUCUUACUAUAGACAAACAAUUGUAAAAAUGGUACAGUGUUUGAAAAGGUCACUGUAAUUUGCUGAAAUUGAUAUGUAUUUGGAAACAGCCUCUCUACCCCAGGGUAGGGGUAAGGCUGCGUACACACUACCCUCCUCAGACACCACUGAGUGGUAUUGUACUGGGUCGUACUUUUAAAAGAAACACUCCUCCCCUUUUUCUUCCUUUUUCCUCUUUCAUGUUAAAAAUUCAGUACCUUUCAGCUUUGGACAGAAGAAGUACACACCAUUCUCACACAAAAUGUGUCCUUACUUUUUUGAUAUGUAUUUGGAAUGCAAUGUCAUGUUCGGACCUGUUUUGGCGUAUGUUCCUCAUUUGCAAGACAACUGAUUAGUUUGUAUUGAAGUUUAUCUAUUUUGUUCAUUCGAAACGGGAUCUGAAAUUGAAAUUCUUGAGUUAAAUAAAAUUAGAAGAAGGCUUCAACAUCAACCAUGAAUCCAUAUUCUAUUAGAUAAUUUGAAAGGGGCCGUUUGUGCGACAGUUUAGUGCAUGGUUUCCAGCUGAGUUUUGCUAGGUGUGAGAGUUGUUUUUGCUGCCGCAUUUAGCAGCUUUUUCAGCUGCGUUUUGAAGCCUAAUUUGAGAUGAAAAUGACUGAUUUCUGGAGCUCUUACAUGGCUGUUUUUACUGGUUUUUAGAGUCGUUUUUCAGCUUUAUUUUGAGAGAAUUUUUCAGCUAAGUGUUAAGUCUGCCAACAUUUAGCUUUGAUUGUCUAUUGUUAAUUCUCCUUUAUUUACAUUUUAUGGUUUCAUGUUCUGUUGUUUAGAUUGGUAAUUUUUGUGAAAAUAGUUGAUAUAGUGGUUUAAUAUUUAUAUGAAUUUCAUUUUACAGCAGGGCCUUCUUUCAUUCUAAAUAGUUGCGUAGGUAAUUGAAAGUGCUAAUUAGUAACGGGUGUGAAUUUUUUUGAAUUAAAAGAUAGGCUUGGGUAUUUGGAAUUUUUGAGUGGGAUUGGAAAUUGAAAAACAUUAUAACAAUAAUUUGAGGUGCGCCGUGCCAAACAAAAAUGAUAAUUGCAUGGUCCUCAUUUAGUUAUUUUUUUAAAAAUACUUAGAACUCGGGUGUGCCGUUUAGCGAAUUUCACGGCCUUCCCAAAAGAUUACAACGCGUUAGACUUUAUUAGGCGCGACUUCAAUAAAAUUACAUUCCUGUAUAUGGGUUGGCAUUUUAUGCGGCCCACAUUCAAAUCCUAAAACGUCGAAUGGAGUGUGCCUAGGAUUGCAGGUUCGGUUCGUUUCAUGUGGCGCAAUCUGAAAACACACUUUAGACGAUGUUCACUUUCUCUUAAAUAAAUACGUAUUAAAUAAAAGCGAUUAAACGUAAAAUUGGCACAUAGGCUCUUCAUGUAUUAAAAUCAGAUUUUAGCCAUUCAUGACAAUUUAAGCGACCAUGCUAGAACAAUGAGAUUCGAGGGUGCCUAACACCUUCCCUCGGGUCAACAGAAUUCCUUAUUCAGAAUUUUUGGUUCGCAAACUCCAUUCGGAAGUCGGAAUUUUCCUCGGUUCGGGAUUCAAGAUAAACUGGUGACUUGGGACACCAAAGGCUAAACUUAUCCCAAGUGGCGACUCUAAAUAAAUAAUCCCGAUUCGAAUCAUGUCACUUUAAAUAGAAAAAUCCUAAUACAUUAUCCUUCAGGGUAGUGUGUAAAAAGGAGGUGUGACAGCUCUAGCGACUCUGCCGGGGAAAAGAACCCUGAACAUUUUGUUCAGGGUUCAGAAUUCGAGCUUAGAAUAAUUGUUGCGUUUGGCUUUAUCUGAUUUUGUUAUAUGAUAUGUGCUUAAUGUGCUAAUUGACUGCUUUUACCGCUUUGAUAUUAUGUGAACUGUAUAUAAAUUGUGCCGAACCAAAUCUCCUCUUUGAGUAUUCUAAAUCAUGAAGAAGGGUGUACUUCGUACGACUUCUUUUCUGUAUAGUGUCUAAUUCCCAAUUUAGAACGAAGUUUUGAUAAGUUGCAAAGCCGGCGAAGCUUCUGUAUUCCCGGAUUGCUGCCUCCCCCUCGGCUCGAGUUAUCCGCUCGGGUAAGCCAGGUCUAAAACAAACACCCAGGUUUUGAACCUAGAAUAACUCAGCCUCAUGCCAAAUCCCUGGUAGGAACGCUUAUUUGCAUCAUGUGCUUUUGACUUAGAGGACUCAACACAGGGGUUGGGUUCGUCUAGGGCUAACAACCUGAAAUGAAAAGACCAUCCUGAUGCAUCCUACUUGUUUUCUCUGCAUUUAGUUGAUCGGGCUUGCAUGUUGACCGGCUUUUGAAUCUCGAAAAUGUUAGAAAUAUGAGAAAAUUAGAAAAUAGCAAGACAGGGAGUAAGAAUAACCAAUACCCAAGAGCUGUCGGAACUCUGCCGAAAUUUUAAAAAAUAGGAAGAAAGGAAAAAUGUCUUUGUUUACAAGUCAAAAAUGGUUUGAAAAAGAUUUUUGUCUCAAAAUUAGUUAGUUUAUUGGACCGAACUACGCGGGUCUGAUUCUCACCGGAUGUGAGAUACGUCGGCAAACCUCAUCGGUUCCGACCCCAAUUUUCAAAAAAACCCAAAAAAUAUCUUUAUUACUUCAUUCUUUAGAAAAGUCUUUCUUUAAGACCCCAAUUUUCAAAAAAAAUAAAAUAAAAUAUUUCAUUACUUCAUUCUUUAGAAAAGUCUUUCUUUAAGACCCCAUUUUUUAAAAAUUCAAAUAUUUCCUUUAGUUCAUUCUUUAAAAAAUCUUUCAAAAAAAAAGGUAGUGUUUAAAUACACAAAAAAAAUAGUUCCUUCUUUCUAAUGUCUUUCAUACGAAAAGGAAAAAUUAAAAAAUCAAAAUCCAAAAUAUGGGUUUCUUUUAUUUUAAAAAUCCAAAAAUACUUUUUUUCUUCUUUAAAAGUCUGUCUUUUUUAAAUGUCCAUAAAAAUUUUGUAAAGUCCAAAAAUAUUUUUGCUUUUCUUUAAAAGUACAUUCAGAAAUCCGAGAUGUUUUCUUGAAAGUCCAUCUUUCGAAUAUUCACAAGUCAAAACAAAAUCCAUAUACAUAUACGAGGCAAUAUUCAAAAUUCAAAAAUAAUUUCUUUCUUCCUUAGAAAAAGGUAAAACAAAUGAAAAUUCAAAACUUUUUUUUUUUGCUUUUGAAAGUCCCAAGUUCAAAUAAAAAACAAAUGAAUUUGUAGAAGUCUUUCUUUCAAUAAAGUAGAACAAAAAUCAAAUAUAUAUAUCUCUAUANNNNNNNNNNNNNNNNNNNNNNNNNNNNNNNNNNNNNNNNNNNNNNNNNNNNNNNNNNNNNNNNNNNNNNNNNNNNNNNNNNNNNNNNNNNNNNNNNNNNNNNNNNNNNNNNNNNNNNNNNNNNNNNNNNNNNNNNNNNNNNNNNNNNNNNNNNNNNNNNNNNNNNNNNNNNNNNNNNNNNNNNNNNNNNNNNNNNNNNNNNNNNNNNNNNNNNNNNNNNNNNNNNNNNNNNNNNNNNNNNNNNNNNNNNNNNNNNNNNNNNNNNNNNNNNNNNNNNNNNNNNNNNNNNNNNNNNNNNNNNNNNNNNNNNNNNNNNNNNNNNNNNNNNNNNNNCUCUCUCUCUCUCUCUCUCUCUCUCUCUCUCUCUCUCUCUCUCUCUAUAUAUAUAUAUAUAUAUAUAUAUAUAUAUAUAUAUAUAUAUAUAUUUCUUUUCCUCUUUUAAAGCAUUUCUUUCAAAAAUUUUAAAAAAAAGAGUUAGUUUAUUUGCUCUAUUCCCAAUCUUACCGAACUACGCCGGUUUGAUUCUCACAGGAAGUACGAUAUGUAGGCAACCCUCAUCGGGUCCAACCUUCCCUUUGCAAAAAUAGCCAAAAUGUCAAAACUUUUGAUUUCAUCAUAAAUAAGUCGGGUGAUGCCAUUCUUGUCAAAAAUAAGCCGAAUGUCCCCAAAAGGGCGUCAGAACGCUGUUUUUGCAAGAACAGCCGCCCUGAGUCAUUUUUUAAAUGGUUUGCGGGUACAACCUUAAAAUCUUCCUCCAAAAGUGCUAAAAGACCGUAUCUACAAAAUCAAGUCCCUGUUUUUUUAAUAAAGAAUUUUUGGAAUUCGAUGUCUGAUAUAAAUAGAAAACGAAAAAAUAUACAAUUUUUGAUAAAGAAAAUUUGAAGUCUCUCUUUCAGAAACAAAAUCAAAAUAAAAAACAUAGUCCUUAAAGCAUUUUUUUUCAAAAUUCCAAAGAAAAGGAAGUUAGCUUAUUUACCUUAUUUUCACGAACUACGCUUGGUCUAAUUCGUGCGGGGUCGCGAUACGUAGGCAAUCCUUAUCAGAUUCGACCGUAACCAUAAGAGAAAAACAAAAAGAGAGGGAAGAAAAUAGAGGAAAAACAAAAGAAACAAAAAGCGGAAGAAAAUCUAAAAAAAAUAGAGCGGAGGAAAAUCAAAGAAAACUCAUGGCAGAAAAAAUGGAAAUACAGAAAAUGAGAAAAACAGAGGGGAGAAAAAAGAAAAACAAAUGUAAAAACAAGCAAGGAAAACAAAAGAAAAAUCGGGAUGACACAUGCAACCAUUGAUGUGUGAUUACCUAUUUGUAUUUGUCUCAAAACUAACCGUUCGCUGCUAUCAUUUCCAGAGGCCACAUUUAUAGAAACAGGUGGUUAGUUUUGUGGUAAACUGGCUUCGCACCACUACUUUACUAGAUCUAAAGAUAGCGUCAGAAAUGACCCUGCCAACAAUUCCUAUUUCGGAAGAUAGUCCACUCUUGGGCGUCCCGGCCUCAGAGUCCGCAGUUGACGAAGAAAACAGAAUCUUAAAUCUGAGGGUAAUGGAGAUGUGAGACGCAUGGAUAAGUGGAAAAGAACCCUCGAGUGUCAUCCCUUGAUUUCCCGAGUUGUUCCCAAGACCAACUGGUACCUUUAACAUUCCCAUCAACCACCCUAACUUCCCGCUAGGAUAGCCUACUAUAUUCACUCAUUUCGUGGGAGCAACUUUUGAGGUCCGACCCCAGGCAUUCAUACCCGGGACAACUCCAAACAUCUUCACUGCUCCACCAUCUUCUGCUACAACACAGCCCGCAAUCCCUAGGCCUGUGUUUGAUCCAUCGACCUUCACUUAUCAAACUUCUACUUACCAGCCCGAACUUCCUCCAUACUCCGCAUAUGCUUACCCUCAGCCACCACUAUAUGAGUUUACACCGAGGCAAGACAAAACCCCUAAAGCCCCUGAGCAAGAUGAGAUGGCCAGGAGAAUGAGAAGUCAUGGACAGAGCUUAAAGAACAUGCAAGGUUUGAGCAGGCAAAAGAGUGUCUUUUAUACAAAUUUGUGUAUGUUUCCGCAUGUACAUUUGCCGCCAGGGUUCAAAACACCAAAAUUUGAAAAGUAUGACGGGCACGGCGACCCCAUUGCUCAUUGAAGAAGUAUUGCACCGGUGGCAAAGAAGAACUGUUGAUGGCAUAUUUUGUGGAAAGCUUAAUUGGUAUUGCUUCAGAGUGGUAUAUGGAUCAAGACAUAUCUCGACGGCACAUUUGGGACGAUCUUGCCCGAGAUUUUGUAAGGCAGUUUCAGUAUAACAUUGACAUCGCGCCAGACCGGAAUUCUUUGUCAAACUUGAAGAAGAAACCCUCAGAAAGCUUUAGAGAAUACGCUAUUAAAUGGUGCGAGCAAGCAUCAAAUAUAAAUGGUCACUGUCUUUCUCCAGGCACAGGAAUCAGACUACUUCCAAAACAUGAUGUCGGCCAUGGGCAAGCCUUUUGAAUAGGCCAUCAAAAUUGGUGACAUGGUAGAACACGGUUUGAAUACGGGUAGAAUGUUAAGUCAGUCAGCCAUCAGAGCAACCUCCCAAGCCAUCCAAGGCGGUUAUGGAGGAAUGGCAAAGAAUAAGAUGAGAGAAGAAACAACCAUGGUAGCAUCAGGGGGAAGAAGAUACCGGGCCGGAAGAACCCCUCAACACUACUAUCCUCACUCCGAUAUGGUCUAUGAUCCACCACCUUAUGUAGUUAUGAAUGCUCAACCUUUCGGCCGACCGCAACCACAAGCUAACAGAAAUCAACCUCCAUUCCAAAAAAACCAGCCUCCUCACCAGAACCACUAUAAUCCUUGACCUCCCCAGAAUAACUUUCGUCCCCCAGAACCACUCAGGAGACCCAACUAUACACCAAUCGGUGAACCCUACUCCACCCUAUUCCCUAAGCUUGUCUUUCUCACCAGAACCACUAUUAUCCUCGACCUCUUCAGAAUAACUUUCGUCCCCGGGAACCACCCAGGAGACCCAACUAUACACCAAUCGGUGAAUCAUACUCUAACCUGUUCCCUAAGCUUGUCCAGAUGAAUUUGCUGCAACCCAUACCCCCAAACAGGCAAAACCCGGAAUCACCGUCAUAUCAGCGGGGUGUCAGAUGUGCCUAUCAUUCAGGGUUAGAGGGGCACGAUACAAAUGACUGUUGGACUCUGAAGCAAGCGGUGUAGAAUUUAAUAGGGCGAGGAAAAUUGUGCUGAAGGAUAAGGAUGUCCCCAAUGUGACCAAUAAUCCAUUGUCAGCCCACAACAACAGGCCAGUAAUUGGGAUGAUUUGUGAAGACAAAGAAUUUGAUCUGGCGCAUAAGGCCAUAAAAGAAUUUGAUCCGGCGCUUAAGGCCAUAAUUGCUAUUGCUGAUAUGGAAAGGAAGCCCAAGGCAUCCCUAAAACAAGAGAAAGGGGAAAAGAAGAGUAAAAUCACCGAGAUAGAACCGAAAAAGGAAAUUGACGUAUCCGAGCAAGCCGAUGUGGUAUGGGGGGGGGGGAAUCAAACCACCUCGGCUGCAUGAGCCAAUGGUUAUUGGACGCAUACCAUAGAAGCCUAACUAUAAUGAAGAGGAAGAUGAUGAGGUUUUCACGGCUGAAGAGAGUAAGGGAAUACAUGGGGCGAUGAGGAAAAUGCUUUAUAAAACUCACAUAGUUCAGCUGGGAGAGAGCACAAGCACCACUGAGGUGUCAUACAUGGGACCAAGCGCCAAGCUUCAAAAUUGGAAGGCUACACCAUUCCUGGUCAGGCGGGAGUCCUCGUAGACUUGUCCUGCCACUUUUUCUGCAUCGCGAGUCAUCCCAGGGUGUGACUCGGAUGUUUUCUUUAGUUUCCUUUCUUUAAAUUCCUGAAUGUCAACCCUGUUAUCUUCCCAAAUUCCAAGAAAUGAAAUCAAUAUUUCAUCGUUCAUUUUCUUUAUUUUUUCAGAGUUUGCUAUGUUUUUUCUCUUUCUCUAAUAAUGUAGCUUUAAAUAACAUGACAUGCUUGCGGACUUUAUGCCCAGAUCCCAAGAACUCUAUCAGACUUUGAAAUAAUAAAUCAAAAGUUAAAAUACAAAGAAGUUAAAUUUGAGAAAUAAAAGAAAAGAAUCGGAAUAACAGAGGACAAUUGGUUUGUGGUUUGGGAAAGGUCCGUCACGAAAGCAGAGUUUGAGAACAAUGAGUGGGUCUAGACUCGUAUGGAACGUUGACUUUAAUUAAAACGGAUGACUGCAGUUUGUCAUGGGCAGUUGUACAACCAAAGAAUGGCCUGCGCCUAUGAAAUCUGAAGUAGGGCAACUGGUGUUAAGGCGCAUUGUUUCUCCCUACCAGGAAGUAAAAGGAAGUUUGUGCUUAUUCGGAAGGAUCUAUACACCAUUGGAAAUAUUGCCAAGCGAAGAAUUGUAUCUGGGUGACAUCGAAAAGUGACCCCGAAGUAGUUGAGCAUGUAGAUGCAGUAAAAAGUACUAUGUCUAAACUCGUUCCGCCGAUGUCUUUGCACAUAUGAGAUGAUGAAGGCUUUUACUCCCGCUAUCCAAACACCAUCUAUCCUUCUUAAACCCUUUGAGCGGGUUACCUUUCUUUGAUUACCCUCUUUGGAACCCGGAAGUGCUAUUGAAAAAAAAAGAAGGAAAAGGAAAAGAAAAAGGAAAAAAAGAAAAAGAAAUUAAGAAAAAGAAUAAAAGAAAAGAAAAAAAAACCGAAAAAAAAACAAAAAUAUUUUCCUGAACUACGUACGACUUGAUUCCGAAAGGAUACGUAGGCAGCCUCUCUCUGGGGUUCAGCCACACCAAAACAAAAAUCAAAAUUCCUCAAAAGAUGGAAACUGGGUAGAUGACAUAAUGGUUUGGCCAAGAGACCGCCGAAAUGGUACCAAAGUUGUAGUUCCGUCCAAAAUCCUUUUUACCCCAAAAACCUUGUCCAAGUCCUUCCGAUCAACUGGCAAAGGCGGGGAAGUGGAAAAUGCCAUUGUUGGAAUAUGAUACAAUUCAAAUUUAGAUAAAUAAAAUGAGAGAGUCUUAUCGGUGAAAACCUUCGGGCACCAUAAGGCGAUGGGAGUAGAGAAAUCAAAAAUGAGAGACUCCACUUAGCAAAAACUCGCAAAGAGCGCUAUCGGAUGACGGUGAGAAGAGAAAUGAGAGAGGUCGAAUGUGCGAAAAGCCACAAAGGGCGUUGUCGGCCGGAAAAAGUCAUCUCACCACUAAAAGAGUCGUGGAAAGGUUCCCUGGUUUUGAAAUGUGGAAAUGCGAUUCACGAGAAGUUGGAAAGUUUGUGUGGGUCGGGCGUCUAGUCCAAGAAGCAUGUCAUGUUCAUUUGGAGCCAGCAUGCACCCCAAAUAAGUCCUUCAUUUUCCCUGAAAGGGACGCUUCUCUUUAAACUCAUAUGCUUGCCUUUUGCAUACUUUUCUUUGAAUCCCUUUCGGUUUAACUCUGAUUCCGUAACAAUUACAAAGAAAAGGUGGCAGGACCGGUUUCACAGAGCUCCGCCUGGCAAGAGUCAAAGAAAAUACCCAACCUCAGUGGUGCGUCAGUUCAAUUCGUAACAAUUACAAAGAAAAGGUGGCAUGACCGGUUUCAUAGAGCUCUGCCUGACAAGAGUCAAAGAAAAUACCCAGCCUCAGUGGUGCGUUAGUCCAAUCCCGACUGACCAUGGUGGUUGAUUGCUUCCAAAGUAAAAACGUUUGAAAGGAAAGAAAGUCAAAGGCAAAAUUCCUAAGGGCAGAAUAAAUUAAAAGGACAGAGCCCACACGAGCGAGUCAUCAUGAAAUCCUAAGGCUUAACCCGGUCAGUGUGAAAGAGAUUCAUCCUCAAGGCCAACAGGCAGUAAAUUUCUCAAUGGAAAUGGGGCCGGGAUCAAGUGAUGGAGAUGAUCAAGGCCACAAAACCAACCACCGUAUCAACUAACAAAUUGUUCUUUGUUAAAAAUAGGUCUUACUCAAAACAACCGUGCAAGAAGCAGGUGCAGCCCAAAAGAAAUGAAAUGUGCGAGCGUUGAAAUAGCGUUGCAGCACGAAAAAUGACCAAAAGGAAAGUUUUCUCAAACACUCUUUCAUGCAUUCUGAUAAAUAAAAAGGAAUAACCUCUAAAAAAAAUAAAAAAAAGAACCAAAAAGAAAGAAGGAAAGAAAUGGAAAACGAAAAUCCCAAAAGAGAAUCAAAUCAUGGUAGUUAUAGUUUUUUCUAUCCAAAACCCGGCCAAAAAAGCGAGGAUCUCUCGGCCAAAAAACCGUGGAGCAUUCUCUAUCUAAAUCCCGGCCAAAAAACCGAGGAUCUUUCAGUCAAAAAAUCGUGGAGCCUUUUCUUUUCCAAAUUUCGGCUAAAAAAUCGAGGAUCUCCCGGCCAAAAAAUCAUGGAGCUUUUUCUAUCCAAAUCCUGGCAAAAAAAUCGGGGAUCUCCCGGCCAAAAAAUCACGGAGCUUUUUUUAUCCAAAUCCCGGCCAAAAAACCGAGGAUCUCCCAGCCAGAAAACCGUGGAGCUUUUUCUAUUCAAAUCCCGACCUAAAACCGAGGAUCUCCCGACCAAUAAAUUGCGGAGCCUUUUUCUGUCUAAGUAUCCCAGCCAAAAAACCGAGGCCAAAAAAUCGCGAAGCUUUUUUCUAAAUAUCUCUGCCAAAAAACCGACGAUCUCCGUGGCAUAACCCAAGGAGCUUUUUCUUUUCAAAUCCCAGCAUAACCUGUGGAUCUCCCUGGCAUAACCCAAUGAGUCUUUUCUUUCCAAAUACCGGCAUAACUCGUGGACCUUUUCCGGCAUAACCUGAUGAUUUUUCCGGCAUAACCCGUGGACCUUUUUCGGCAUAACCCGAUUCUUUUCUCGGCAUAACUCGUGGAUCGUUUUCGGCAUUACCCAAUGAUUUUUUCCGGCAAUUCCCGUGGAUUUCCUUGGCAUAACCUAAGGAGCUUUUUCUUUUUCAAAUCCCGGCAUAACCCGUGGAUCUCCCUGGCAUAACCCAAGGAGCCUUUUCUUUCCAUAUCCCGACAUAACCCGUGGACCUUUUCCGGCAUAACGCGAUAAUUUUCCCAGCAUAACCCGUGGACUUUUUUUGGCAUAACCCGAUGAUCUUUCCCGGCAUGACCCGUGGACCUUUCCGGCAUAACCCAGUAAUUUUUCCGGCAUAACCCGUGGACCUUUUCCGGCAUAACCCGAUGACCUCCCCGGCAUAACCCGAAGAAUCCUCUCUCUUUUCCGGCAUAACCCGGCUGUUUCCCAGCAUAACCUGGAUUCAUUCACAAAGAUACACAAUCCUAAUAUGAUCGCUUAGAUAUGUGUCACAAUUAACUCACGAAAAUUUCUUAGCAAAAACUGGGGCAGAAAAUUUCGUUUGUUUGUUUGUUUUGGUAUCUUAAGCAGGUUGACCUCAAAACACAGGAUUUAAGAUGACCAAAAUAAUGAGUCUCAAUCCAGAACAAAGAAAAGAAGAAAAGGACAAAAAGAAGAGAACUUAAAGUGCUGAAGUGGAAAAGGACGCGGACUGCUCAAGAUAUGAUUGAAGUCAUAUGCUUCGCAUGUCCUGCCUUGAUCCAAAGCUGAAGAAUGCACCAACGGUAACAUCUGACGAGCAUCAAGAUUCAAAUCAGAGUUUGCCUCAAGAACCAGCCGAGACUCAAGAUCAAGCUUCAGAAGACUCACAUAUAGGAAUCUUGUAACUCGUAGCUGAUAUGCUUAGAUAGUCUUUUUCAAUUUUGAUGUAAUAACAGGACAGCGGACCGGAGCCCUGGACGGAACCUCGACUCUCAACCUCGGUACUCCAUCACUCUGAACUACAUAUGACCUGAUUCCUUUAUAGCCAAUGAUUUGUAGUCAUCCUUUGAAGCAAGGUUCGGUCAGACAGUUUUUCAAAAAUGCUUCUCAUGGAGUUUCAAAUGGGCAAAAAUCCCUCACAGUGCUUACUUUAUCUUUGCCUGAAAACUCUUUGUGUUUCCGAGCAAAGAGGGGCAGCUGUAAGCAUGUGAUUUUUGCCAUAUAUGAAGAUAACUUCUAAAAAUAAGUCAAAAUAAGUUUUAGGAAUUUUUUCUUUUUUUAGUCGCAUUUCAUGCAUUUUAAUAUUUUAAAAUCAAAUAAUAAAUACCAAAAAUACUUGUCCUUUGGAUUUAGAAUUUAAUUUUACAUUUUAGGAAUAAUUAGUAGUUGAGUUACUUUUAGUUUUAAUUUGUUUAAUUUGCAUUUGAAUAGGGAAUUUGCGUAAUUGAAAAUCUGGAAGUAUAAUUUUAGAGUCAAUUUGAGUUUUGGUUUUAAUUUAGCAUUUAACAAAAUCAGAAAAUAAAAUACAAAAUAAGUAAAUAAAAUACAAAAAAAGAGAGGAAGAUAAAAGAAAUUGGGAGUAAAAAAAAUGGGAAGAACCUUCCCCAAAAUAUUUUUCCCCAAAUCAUUUCUCCCACAUAAGACCUUUCCCCCAAAAUAUUUCGUCACCUAAAAACUUCCCCAAAAAGUAUUUCCUCACAUAACACCUUCUCCCCAAAUAAAACUCCUCCACAUAACACCCCACCCCAUACCCCUCUAUAUAAACACACAACAAAUACAAAAAAAAAGAAAGAAAAAAAGGAGCAGAAGAAUUCCUUCGUUUCCUCUCUAUACCUAAAUCCACAAUAAAGCUACAAACAUAAAAUCAAUUUGGAUAGAAGGAAAAUGGAUAAGGUGAGGGUACAACUGUAGGUACAGGGAAAGACGAUGGGAUCUUAAGCAACUCGUUGGAUCUGGCCGGAGAUACAAUUUUUCGAACGACUCUCGGUGCCAUCGAGUUAGAUCUAACCAGUCUCUAUUGUUACGCCUGAAGCAGAGGUGAUUUGAGGUCCGUUUGGGAUCGCCGACGUAGUUUUUGAUCCGGUCAAGGUCCCGUUCAGUUAACCAUUUUUGCGAUUCAGAGAUUUUAAGGUCAAUCAAUUUUCACCUUCUUCAUUGUAGUUGCUGAAAUUUAAUCGAAAGUUUGCACAUUAUGGUCCAUCUAAACUUAUCUCUUUUAUAUGUUUGAUGUCUCUGUUUGCAUAUGUUUUUUUACAUGGCGUUGGCUUGUUAUCUAGUCCGCUCGUCCUCAGUCACGCACACCGAUCCUGUUUGUUGUUUCAUAUAUUUGUUAGAAUUUUUCAGCAUUCGGAUUAGGCUUAAAUCUUCCAAAAUAAGUGUUGAGUUUCUGGUUUAGUUUGUUAGAUUUUCGUGUUUCCUUUCACUCAUGUCCUAUCUUGAUUAAAUACAGUAGCACCACAUUAUUUUUUAUGCAAUGGCAACGCACGAGUACAAUUUCUUUUGUUAUCAAGUUUGCGUAUGUUCAAUAUUUAAUUUUGUUAGAUUUUACCCUUUCGGUUUUUUUAGAGUUCCUCAUGUUAUGUUUUUAAGUGAAAUUACAAUGAAGUGAGAGUUCACGCCAAUUAUAUUGAAACAUUAAGUUUGAAGUUGGACCGUGUUUGAACAUAAGGUUGAUCUAUUUGUGUAAGUGGCAUGUCAAUGGUUUUAGAAUCGUUGGCUACGUGAAUAGCAUGUUAAUGGCAUCAUUGGUUAGUGUAAAUGAAUUUUCUAUGAAACGCAUCUCUUUAUGGAAGUAUAGCAGAAUGUAGUUCUAUUUUAAAUUAGAAUAAGAGGUAUAAUGCAACGAACAAAAAUAACAAUUGCACGACCCUUAUUUGAUUAAUCUUAUUUUGUCCUUAGAAUUGAGGUGUGCCAUUUAGUAAAUUCCAUGGCCCUCGCAAAUUACAACGUGCUAGACGCUAUUAGGAGCGACAUUAAUAAAUUACAUUCCUAAAUACGAGUGGACAUUUUAUGCGGUCCAAAUCUAAAUCCUAAAACGUUGAAUAGAGUGUGUCUAGGAUUGCGAGUUCAUUUCAUGCGGCGUAAUUCGAAAACACAUGUUAAACGACGUUCACUUUCUCAAAUAAAUAAAUAAAUAAAUAAAUAUAUAUAUAUAUUUAAUAAAAAUGGUUAAAGAUAAAAUUGGCACAUAGACAUUUCAUGUAUUAAAAUCAGUUUUUAGCCAUUCAUAGCAAUUUAAGUGACCGUGCUAGAACCACGGGAUCCGAGGGUGCCUAACACCUUCCCUCGGAUCAACAGAAUUCCUUAUUCAGAAUUUCUGGUUUGCAGACUCCAGUUGGGAAGUCGAACAUUUUCCUCGGAUGGGAUUCAAGCUAAAUCGGCGAUUUGGGACACCAAACGCCAAACCUUUCCUAAGUGGCGACUCUGAAUAAAUAAUUCCGAUCCGAAUAAGGUCACUUUUAAUGGAAAAUUCCCUUAUACAUUAUCCUCCGGGGUAGGUAUGUAAAAAGGAGGUGUGACAACUGUUUGUUCCGGUACAAAGAUAACAAACGAAGAUAAACUAGAAGAGACUCGGUCAUGCGGACGCCAACAAGGCUACCUCGAAAAUCUCUGGACUGAAGUCAGCUCGCAACGCUCCUACUGUGGUCCACAAGCUGCUCCGGCUCCAUAAUCUAUGCAAAACGAUACGAAAGUAUAGCAAAAGCACAAACGACCCCUGGGAGGGGGACAUGCUUUUGGGAGUAACAGAUAAAAUAGAACGACCGGAAUAUAUAAGGAAAACUACAAUUGAUUCCUUCUAACACAGAAUAUAUUAUCGGUGCGCCACGCGAUCCCAUUUCAUGAUGUAUAAGUGGUCGGCGUGCCACACGAUCCCAUUUCGUAAUAUAUAAGUGGCCGGCAUGCCACACGAUCCCAUUUAAUAAUAUAUAAGUGGUCGACAUGUCACACGAUCCCAUUUCAUAAUAUAUAAGUGGUCGGCACGCCACACGAUUCCAUUUCAUAAUAUAUACAAUGGUUUCCCGGCAAGAGACAAGUAUCAAUUCAACUAUCCCAGCAAGGAAGAAUACAAAUAAACAGUUAAUUUCCGACAAGGGAGCAACAACAAUAAUUUGCACGUCCCAGCAAGGUAAUAAUUGCAUCUCUUUCUCUUUCGCUCAUUUCUUACUUCCUAAUCAUGUCAUAAUUCGAGUCAACGCUCCAAGGAGUUUACAAAUCGUAUUUCCUUUUCAUACUCUUCACAUUAUAUAGAAACCAUAAAUUAAACAAGGAAGAGUUACUACAGAAUCUCAAUAAGCACAAAUAAGGACUCACGGUCAUGCUAGACACCGGUGAAUAGAUACUUGUCAACAUGCCUAUACACCAUACUCAACAUUUAGCAAUUAAUAAAUAAUACUCUAAUCUUAUUCCCUCGAGCCAAAAUUAGAUCAAACACUUACCUCGAAUGCUCCAAAAUCAACUCAAGACUCUAGUACAGCUUUACCCCUUGAAUUCGGCUCCAACUCAGUCAAAUCUAUGAAAUAAUGACUUUACAAUAUUAAUAAUAGCUUAAAAAAAUUAAAUCCAAUGCCUAAAUAUGGAUUUCUAAGAUUUCUUCCCAAAAUUCCAAAAAUAGAUCCCGGGCCCGCUUGGUCAAAACUCAAGGUUUGAACUAAUUCCACGUCACCCAUUCCCCCACGAGCCCGGAUAUUCAAUUUGUUUUCAAAUUUGACCCCAAAACGAGGUCUAAAUGAAAGAAAAUUGAAAAGCCCUAAUUCUACUCAUUUCCCCCAACUCUUACCAUAAACUACAUGAUUUAGGUCUAUGAAUUUGAUAAAUGAUGAUAGAAUAUGAAGAAAACGAGUCAGAUAAUACUUACCCAAGAAGCUUUGGUGAAGAAGAGCUCUAAGAAUCGCAUAUGGGUUGUGGAGAAGAAGAGCUCGUGUGAAAUGGAGUGAUGCUCGUAUCUACUGUUUUGAUUGUUUUAGAAAAACCACAGGGCGGAUUUACUCUAUGCGUUUGCGACAGGGGUGUCGCGUUCGUGAAGAAAGGAGGUUGGGAAGCACCGUGUUCGCGAUAGGUAUGAUGCGAAUGCGAAGAAGGAAGCUGGGGGGGGGGGGGUCAAGGAAUUGGCCUAUGCGAACGCGAGGGGGUAAUAUGCGAACGCAUUGAAGGGAUUACUGGCACUACACGAAUGCGAGAAGGGGGACCACGAACGCGAAGGAGGGGGCGCCAAGGCAGUGCGAACGCGAGCCUGAGGCCGCGAUUUGUAGAACAAAAUGUAUGUGUAAAAUUGCAGAAAAAUCUGAUCCUUUUUCCUAAGUUCAAGACACCCCGAACCACCUCCGAAUCACUCCCGAGCCCUCGGGGCUCUUAUCCAAACACACACACUAACUCAAAAAACAUCUUGCGGACUUAAUCGAGCGAUCAAUUCGCUAAAAUAAUAUCACAAACGACGAAUCAAACCUCAAAUUCAUCACUUUUCAUUCAAACUUAUUAAAUUUCUAACUUUUGAUAUUUAGGUCCGAAAUACGUCAAAUGACGUUCGAUUUCAACCAAAUCACACAGAAACAUAUUAAACCAUGUAUAAGACUUGUACCGGGCGCCGGAGCCAAAAUACAGGCCCGAUACCAACGCUUUCUCAUCCAAUUUUAUUUCAAAUUUUCUUAUUAAUUCCAGAAAAAUAAUUUGUUUAAAAAACUUUAUUUCUCGGGUUCGGGACCUCGGAUUUCGAUUCCGAGCAUAUGCCCGAGUCCCAUAUUUUGAUACGGACCCUCCGGGACCGUCACAUCACGGGUACGAGUUCGUUUACUUAAAAUAUUGACCAAAGUCAAUUUUAAUCAUUUUAAAGCCAAAUUUCAACAAUUUUCACAAAAUUUAACAUAUAAGCUUUCCGACUAUGCGCCUAGACUAUGCACCAAAAUGAAGGCAACUAAAAGUGAGGUUUUCAAGGCCUCGAGAGCACGAAAAAGGUGAAAACAGGUGAUGACCCUUUGGGUUAUCACAUUCUCCACCUCUAAAACAACUCUUCGUCUUCGAACGGAUAAAAGAAAGAAGUACUUAGGUAGGGAAAUAGAUGAGGAUAACGGCUUUGCAUAUCAUACUCGGACUUCCAGGUUGAUGCCUCAGGAGGCUGACCUCUCCACUAAACACUCACUGAAGGAAAACUCUUUGACCUCAACUGUCAAACCUGUCUGUCUAGAAUGGCUACCAGCUCCUCCUCAUAAGAUAGAUCCUUGUCCAACUGGUCAGCGUUGAAAUCUAGCACGUGGGAUGGAUCACCGUGAUACCUUGGAAGCAUAGACACAUGAGAAACUGGUUGCACGGGUGACAAUCUAGGCUGUAAGGCAAGUCUAUUAUCCACCUCUCCCAUACGGUCGAGAAUUUCAAAUGGGCCAAUGUACCUAGAGCUAGGCUUGCACUUCUUCCCAAAUCUCAUCAUGCCCUUCACAGGGUCACACGGAGCAAUAUCAGCUCACCAACCAUAAAAGCCACAUCUGGAACCUUGCAGUCUGCAUAACCAUUCUGUCUAGACUGAGCGGUCUGAAGCCUAUCCUAAAUGAUCUUGACCUUAUCCAAGCCCUCCUGAACUAAAUCUAUACCCAAUAACCGAGCCUCUCCUGGCUCAAACCAUCAAAUCAGAGACCGACAUCGCCUACCAUACAACGCCUCAUAUGGAGCCAUCUGAAUGCUGCACUGGUAGCUAUUGUUGUAGGCAAACUCUGCUAAAGGCAAAAAUUGGUCCCAUGAGCCUCCAAAAUCAUUGACAAAGGCCCGGAGCAUAUCCUCCAAUAUCUGAAUAGUCCGCUCGGACUGACCGUCCGUCUGAGGAUGGAAUGUUGUGCUCAACUCAACUCGGGUGCCCAACUCCUGCUGGACUGCUCUCCAGAAGUACGAGGUAAACUGCGUACCCCUGUCCGAAAUGAUAGAUACCAAAACCCCAUGAAGGUGAUCAAUAUCUCUGAUAUAGAUCUCAGCUAACCUCUCUGAUGAAUAAGUGGCUGCAAUAGGAACAAAAUGUGCUGACUUGGACAACCUAUCAACAAUGACCCAAAUAGCGUCAAACUUCUUCUGAGUCAUUGGAAGUCUAGUACAAAAUUUUUAGUAAUCCUCUCCCACAUCCACUCGAGAAGCUCAAUCCUCUGAAACAAUCCACUAGGUCUCUGAUGCUCGUAUCUAACUUGCUGACAGUUCAAACAUCGAGCCACAUAUGCAACAAUAUCUUUCUUCAUUCUGCGUCACCAAUAGUGCUGCCUCAGAUCCUGAUACAUCUUCGCGACGCUUGGAUGAAUAGAAUACCGAGAACUAUGGGACUCCACUAAGAUCAACUCCAGAAGCCCAUCAAUAUUGGGCUCACAAGCUCGUCCCUACAAUCUCAAAACACCAUAAUCAUCUAAGGUCACUUUCUUGACACCUCCACGCUGCACCGUGUGGGGAUCAUCAAACUGCCAAUCACGAAUACGCUCCAAUAAUGAAGAAGGAGUGACCGUGCAAGAUAACAGUCGGCAAGGUUCAGAAAUAUCCAACCUCACGAAUCGAUUGACCAAGGCCAGAACAUCCAAAGCAAACGGCCUCUGACUGACCGGAAUAUAAGCAAGACUACCUAUGCUGGCAGACUUUUUACUCAAUGCAUCGGCCACCAUAUUGUCCUUUCCCGGGUAAUACAAGAUAGUAACAUCAUAGUCUUUCAACAACUCCAACGACCUCCUUUGCCUCACAUUCAGCUCCUUUUGCUUGAACAAGUAUUGAAGACUCCUGUGAUCAGUGUACACCUCACACAUCACAUCAUAUAGAUAGUGCCUCCAAAUUUUCAAAGCAUGAACAAUGGCUGCCAACUCUAGAUCAUGAACCGGAUAAUUCUUCUUGUGAAUCUUCAACUUCCUUGAAACAUAGGCAAUGACUCUGCCAUCCUGCAUCAAUACUGCACCAAGCCCAAUACGAGAAGCAUCAUAAUAGACGUUAUAAGGCCCUGAAAAUGUAGGCAAAACCAAUACCAGUGUCGUAGUCAGAGCUGUCUUGAGCCUCUGGAAGCUCGCCUCACACUCAUCUGACCAUCUGAAAUAGGCACCCUUCUGGGUCAAUCUGGUUAUUGGGGUUGUAGUAGAUGAAAAUCCCUCCACGAACCGAUGGUAGUAGCCUGGUAACCCUAAGAAACUCUGGUCUCUAUAGCUGGUGCUGGUCGAGGCCAGUUCUUGACUGCCUCAAUCUUCUUUGCAUCCACCUAAAUAUCCUCUGCUAAAAUAAUGUGACCCAAAAAUGCAACCGAACUCAACCAGAACUCGCACUUUUAAAACUUUGCAUAUAAUUGACGAUCCUUCAAAGUCUAAAGAACCACUAUGAGGUGCUGCUCGUGCUCUCCUGACUACGAGAGUGUAUCAGAAUAUCAUCAAUGAAACUAUCACGAACAAGUCCAAAUAAGACCAGAACACUCGGUUCAUCAACUCCAUAAAUGUUGUUGGGGCAUUGAUCAACCCAAAGACUAAAAAUUCAUAAUGCCCAUACCGAGUGCGGAAUAUUGUCUUAGGGACAUCAGACGCCCUAAUCCUCAGCUGAUAAUAGCCAGAUCUCAAAUAUAUCUUUGAAAUUACCUUCGUACCCUGAAUUUGGUCAAAUAAAUCGUCGAUCCUUGGUAGUGGAUACUUGUUCUUUAUCGUCAUCUUGUUCAAUUGCCGGUAAUUAAUUGGGACAACCGAAAGGGUCAUCACUUGUCUUUCUCUAUUUUCCGCACUUCCAAGGCCUUAAAAACCUCACUUUUAGUUUCCUUGAUUUGUGUGCGUAGUCCGACGCAUAGACGGAAAGCUUAAAUGUGAAUUCUGUGAAAACUUUGAUGAAUUUUGAUAUUAAUAUGAUUAAAAGUUGACUUUGGUCAACAUUUUGGGUAAACAGACCCGGAUCGGCAAUGUGACAGUUCUAGAGGUCCGUAGAUAAAUAGGGAACUCGGAUGUAUUCUCGGAAUCAAAAUCUGAGGUCCCAAGUCCGAGAAAUGAAUUUUUGAAAAAACUUAUUUUCUGAAAAUGAUAUGGAAAGUUGAAAAGAAAAUGAGUUAGAAAAUAUUGCUAUCGGGCCCGUAUUUCGGUUCCGGCGCCCUGUAUAGGUCUUAAAUAGGGUUUAAGCACUUUUUGUGAAAUUUGGUCGAGAGCUGACGUCGUUUGACGUGGUUCGGACCUAAAUAUCUAAUGUUUGAAAGUUUAUGAAGUUUGAAUGAAACGUGAUGAUUUUGAGGUUGAUCCCUAAUUUAUUAUUUUGGCGAUGUGAUUGCACGAGAAAGUCCAUAGGAUAUUUUUGAGAUUCUACGUAUGUUGGUUUGGAGGCUCGAGGGCUCGGGUGAGUUUUAAGUAGGUCCCAGGAGGUCUUAGACUUAAAAGUAUCAGAUAUUGAGGGUCCAGGUGUUGCAGGCCCCCAGCACGGCCGCAAUGCCUUUCUGCGCGGUCUGCGUGGCCAACUUCAGUGGGCCAGUGAAUUCCAGGUCGAGCAGCGCGGCCGCACACCAAAUCAGUGCGGUUAGCGCUGGGUAGGUUUAGAGAGUGAUUUCUUCUUCCCUUUCUCGGCGUGGCCGCGGUACAGUUUUGUGCGGUCCAUGCCAACCUUUAGUAAAGUAUAUAUUCUCGGGAUUUUCAGUCAUUUUUCACUUUCUCAAAACCCAAAACAUAAAAGGCGAUUUUCCUAAUGAUUCUUUUUCUCCAAAACGAGUGGUAAGUGAUUUCUAUCUUACUUUCUUCACUCCUUAACACCUUUAACCUAAUUUAAACUUCAAAACUAAGAUAUUAAUGGAGAAAAUUGGGAAUUUAGGGUAGAGCCUAGGGUUUCAAAAAUUGGGGGUUUUAGACCUCAAUUCGAGGUCCGAUUCUAAUAUAACUUAUAUAUCGAAGCUCAUGGGGGAAUGGGAACCUCGGGUUGGCAUUUUGGGAAUAUUGAGUAAUACUUUGGAAAUUUAUUUUCAUGCAUUCAAAUUGAUCAAGUAGCAUUUGUUAACACAUUCUAGUAAUUUGUGACUAGAUCAGAGCGGUUUGGUGGUGAAUUCGAGGGGUAAAACAAUACUAGAGGGGUGAGUUGAGUUUCGAGUAUUCAAGGUAAGUGUUUGUUCUAAAUUUGGCUUGUGGGAAUAGGUUUAGGAUAUUAUUUACUAAAUCCUAAAUGCGGAGUACGGUAUAUAGGCAUGGUGACGAGUAUCUAUGCACCGAAGUCUAGCAUGAUCGUGAGCCUUAAUUGUGCUUAUCUGGGUCUUUGUGAUACAUCUUCCUUGUUUAAUCGAUAAGUUUCAUAUAAAAUGUGAUGAGUUUGAGGAAUAGUUAUGAAUUGUAAACCCUUGGGAACAUUGGCUUGAACGAUAAGAGAACUAAUGAGUAAGAAAUGAAAGAGAUACGAAUAAUCCCUUGUCGGGAUGUUUUGAGUAUAUUGAAUUACUCCCUUGCCGGGAUUUAGUUGUGUUGUUAUGUUCCCUUGCCGGGAUAUCUUCACUGGUUAUUCUUCUCUUGCUCCUUAUUUGUGACUGUUGUUUGGAUGAGGAAAUAUGAUAUUAGUGGGUCUGAUUGCAUGUCGCAAUGGUGUUUAAUGAUAUGGAUCGGGUUGCGCGCCGCAACAAGUAUAAAUAAUAUCAAUACGGACUGGGUUGCACGCCGCAACAAUAUCAAGAUAUGUGGAUCAUGCUGCUCGCCGCAACAGUGUAAUUGAGUGACUGGAUCGGGUUGCUUGUGGCAACAGAGUAUGGGUUAAAUGUGUUAUUUUUGGAUUUGAGCUUUGUUGGUUGAUCUACCUUUAUUUUGGACUCCUUGUUUAUAACUGUUGUCUCCCCAGCAUGUUUCCCCCUCCUCGUAUAAACUGCUUAUCUCCGUUUACUUUCUGCAAAGUAUAUUUCAUAUAUGUACAGGUUUAUCUGGUAGUCUAGUCUAGCAUCGUCACUAUUUCGCCGGGGUUAGGCCGGGCACUUACCAGCACAUGGGGUCGGUUGUGCUGAUGCUACACUAUGUGUAUAUCUUUUCACAGAUCCAGGAGCAGCUUUUGGACCACAGCAUCAGUAUUGAUCGUGAGCUGACUUCAGUCUAGGGACUUGCGAGGCAGCCUUGCUGACCUCUGCAGGCUGGAGUCCCUUUCUCUUUAUUAGUUCAUUUUCUUUGUAUCGAGACAAACACUGAUCUAUUUCAUUCAGACUUUUGUUUUAGUACUCUAUAGUAGUUCGUGAGUAGUGAUACCAUACUUUGGGUAAAUGUGUAUUCAGACUUCCGUAUUCUUUCUUUUUUCAGUUAUAUAAGUUUUAAAGACUUCCGUUUUAUUUAAUUGUUUCAUUUCAUCUAUAUUAUCGAGAAUGUUAACUAAAAAAUGUUUAAAUGUUGGCUUUCCUAGCUCCUAAUAAUAGGCGCCAUCACGACUCCCCGUGGUGGGAAAUCCGAUUCGUGACAUCAAUGCACAUCCUCGUCGACCCAUCCUUUUUCUUCACAAAUAACACUGGCGCACCCCAAGGCGACACACUAGGUCUAAUGCAACCCUUCUCAAGCAAAUCCUGCAACCGAUCCUUUAACUCUUUCAACUCUGGCGGGGCCAUGUGAUACGGAAAAAUGGAAAUGAGCUGCAUGCCCGGAGCCAGAUCAAUACAGAAAUCAAUAUCCAUGUCGGGCGGCAUACCCAGUAUGUCUGAAGGGAAAACCUCGGGGAACUCUGGAACAAUUGAAACAUAAUCAAUAGAAGGGACCUCUGCGCUGGAGUCACGAACAUACACCAAGUAAACUAAACACCCCUUAUUGACCAUGCAUCGAGCUUUCACAUAUGAUAUAACACUGCGGGUGGCAUGACCUGGGGUCCCUCUCCACUCUAGUCGGGGCAAAUCUGGUAAAGCCAAGGUCACAGUCUUGGCAUGACAAUACAAGAUAGCAUGAUACGGGGACAACCAAUCCAUCUUCAAUAUAAUGACAAAAUCCACCAUGUCUAAGAGAAAUAAAUCAACACGGGUCUCAGGACCCUCAAACACUACCAUUCAGGAACGAUGCACCCGGUCGACCACGAUAGAAUCACCCACUGGUGUAGAUACAUAGACAUGAAUACUCAAAGCAUCACUAGUCAUAACGAGGUAGGGUGCAAAAAUAGGAUGACACAUAUGAAUACAUAGACCCAGGGUCAAAUAGCACCGAAUCACCUCUAUCACAGACUAGAAUAGUACCUAUAAUAACUGCAUUGGAGGACUCAGCCUCUGGCCUGGCUAGAAGAGCACAAAAUUGGGGCUGGGCCCCACCUGCCCGAACCAUGUCUCUAGGACGAUCGACUACUGGCUGACCCCUAACUCUGGAGGUCUGAGCUCCACCUCUAUAAUUUUUACCUCCACCUCUAUGACCUCUACCUCCGUCUCUAGCUGGCUGGGCGGCCUUGAAUCACCUGAUGCCUGAAUCAUAGGAUGAGGACCUUGCUACUGAGAGCUGUCAGAUGCUCGAGGGCGAUACUUCGAAAUGGGUCUCAUAUCUCCACACAUGUAACAAGCCCUCGGUUUCUGAGAAUAACAGAGUGGUGGCGCUCUGAUAGGUGCUGAUAGUGAACUGAGAAGCUGCAGGUCAAAAUAAUGCGGAUGAGAACCACGACUGCCUGAAGUACUAUGUGAGGCCUGUAGGGCUGACUGAAAGGGACUCGGAGCAUGGCCUCCACCACAAGUAUCCCCAACUCCGGACGAGGUACCAGUGAACCUAUCUGCAUGACGGGGCCUCUUAUCUGGCCCAUGACCACCUCCCCAUGCAAGAGCCAUCUAAACUCUACGGGUUGCAUUGGCCGCCUCCUGAAAAAAAAUCUCAUUACCGGCUCCCAUAGCCAUCUGGAGAUGGAUCGGCUGAAUCAACCCAUUAGUAAACCUCCGCAUCCUCUCUCCCUUGGUGGGGACUAUAAAAAUAGCAUGGAAUUCCAUAUCAAUGAAUCGAGUCUCAUACCGCGUGACUGUCAUAGAGCCCCGCUGGAGGCGCUCGAACUGCUUGCUAAGAGUCUCCUGCAGAGUGACUAGGAGAAACUUCUCCAAAAAUAACUCUGCAAACUGGUCCCAAGUCAAUGAUGGUGACCCUCCUGUUCUGGAUAAACAAUAGUCCCUCCACCAUGUCUUGACGGGUCCUGCUAGUCAAAAGGUGGCGAAGUCGACCCGAUUGGUCUCCACAAUGCCCAUAGUCCGAAGAACCUCAUGGAAGUUGAAUAAGAAAUCCUAGGGGUUCUCUGAAGAAGAUCCAUUGAAUGUGGUGGUGCAGAGCUUGGUGAACCUAUCAAUCCUCCACAAAGCAUCCACGGACAUAGCCACUCCGUUGCCGGUCUGAGUUAUAAUACACGGCUGAACUACCACAGCCGGAUGAACCGCUGGAACCUGAGAUUGAGGAGCUACCUGCUCCGGCGUAUGUGUAUUAGGAGUCUGGACUUGUCCCCCAGCCUGAGAAGUGUCUAGUGCUACUGGAAGCAAACCUUCUCUAGUGACGCACUCCACAAGGCCUACUAAUCUGACCAAAGUAUCCUAAAGAAUAGGGGCGGCUAUGAACCCCUCUGGGACCUGAGCUGGGCCCACUGGAGCUGCUGGGGUUGGAACCUCCUCAUCAUAAUCAACAUAAGGCUCCACCUCUGGGAGCUUUGCCCCUGCCCCUGCCUCGGCCUCUGGCAUGGCCUCGACCUCGCCCUCUGCCCCUUGUAGGAGCUGUUGCGCGGUAGAAGAGAAAGCAAGUGUUCUCGCUAUCUGCAAAAGAAUAGAGUAUAAAGACAAUUAGUAUUUGAGAAACAGAAUCUCACGAUAAGAAAGAACAAAAGUGAAAUUUUCCUAACUUUGCAACCUCUAGGGAUAAAUACAGACGUCUCCGUACCGACCCUUCAGACUCUACUAAGUUUGUCCGUGAGUUGUGAGACCUAUAUAAUCUACUGCUCUGAUAUCAACUUGUCACGACCCGAAUUUUCCACCAUCGGGAGUAGUGAUGGCACCUACUAAUAGGAGCUAGGGAAGCCAAUUAAUUUAAUACUUCUAUUAGUAACAUCAACAAUAUAAAAAAAGACGAGACAAUUAAUAUAAAAGCAAAAGUCUUAAAACAUAAAUAACUGAAAGCAAGUGCGGAUGUUCAAAUACAAUUCUACCCAAAUCUGGUGUCACUAACUCACGAACAUCUAAAGAGUGAUUAAUACGAAGUCUGAAAUAAAGUACUACGUUGUUUGUCCCAGUACAAAGAUAACAAACAAAGAUAGACUAGAAUAGACUCCGGCCAUGCGGAUGCCAGAAAGGCUACCUCGGGAAUCUCUGGACUAAAGUCAGCACCCAACGCUCUUACUGUGGUCCGCAAGCUGCACCAGCUCCGUACUUUGUGCAAAAGGAUGUGCUGAGUGUAGCAUCAGCACAACUGACCCCAUGUGCUGGUAAGUACCUGGCCUAACCCCAGUGAAGUAAUGACGAGGCUAGACAUGACUACCAAACCUAUGCACAUAUAUAUAUAUAUAUACACACACACACACACACACAAGUACAAUAAAAUAACAGUGGAGGGGCAUAUGCUUUUGGGGUUAAUAAAUAAAAUAAAAAGACAGGAAUAAAUAAGGAAAACUACAACUGAUUCCUUCUAACACAGAAUACAUGGUCGGCAUGCCACAAGAUCCCAUUCCAUGAUAUAUAAGUGGUCGGCAUGCCACACGAUCCCAUUCCAUAAUGUAUAAGUGGUCGGCGUGCCACACGAUCUCAUUUCAUAAUAUAUAAGUGGUCGGCGUGCCACAUAAUCCCAUUUCAUAAUAUAUAAGUGGUCGGCGUGCCACACGAUCCCAUUUCAUAAUAUAUACAAUGGUUUUCCGUCAAGGGAACAAGCAUCACUUCAACUAUCCCGCAAGGGAGAAUACAAAUAAACAGUUAAUUUCCGGCAAGGGAGCAACAACAAUAACUUAAUUGCAUAUCUUUCUCUUCUGUUCAUUUCUAACUUCCUCAUCAUGUCAUCAUUCGAGCCAACACUCCAAGGAGUUUACAAAUCGUAUUUCCUUUUCAUACUCUUCACAUUAUAUAGAAACCAUCAAUUAAACAAGGAAGAGUCACUACAGAAUCUCAAUAAUCACAAAUAAAGACUCACGGUCAUGCAAGACACCGGUAUAUAGAUACUCGUUAUCAUGCUUAUACAUCGUACUCAAGAUUUAUAAAUUAACAAAUAAAACUCUAAUCCUAUUCCUUCAAGCCAAAAUUAGAUCGAAAACUUAUCUCGAAUGCUCCAAACUCAACUCAAGCAUCUAGUAUAGCUUUACCCUCGAAUUCGGCUCCAACGCAGCCAAAUCUAUGAAAUAAUGGCUUCACAAUAUUAAUAAUAGCUGAACAAACAAAACCUAAUGCCUAAAUAUUGAUUUCUAAGCUUUCUUUCCAAAAUUUCAAAAAUCAACCCCGGGCCCGCUUGGUUAAAGUUCAAGGUUCGAACCAAUUCCAUGCCACCCAUUCCCCCACGAGCUCGGAUAUACAAUUUGUUUUUAAAUUUGACCCCAAGAUGAUGUCUAAAUCAAAGAAAAUCGAAAAGCCCUAAUUCUAUCCAUUUCCCCUAAUUCUUACCAUACACAACAUGAUUUAGGUCUAGGAAUUUUAUAAAUGAUGAUAGAAAAUGAAGAAAAUGAGUUAGAUAAUACUUACCCAAGAAGACUUGUUUAAGAAGAGCUCUAAGAAUCGCCUAUGGGCUGUGGAGAAGAAGAGCUCGAGUGAAAUGUGGAGUAAAGCCCGUAUCUACUGUUUUGAAUUUUUUAAUAAAAACCACUGGGCAGGCUUACUCUAUGCGUUUGCGACAUGGGUGUCGUGUUCGUGAAGAAGGGAGGCUAGGAAGCAUCACGUUCGCGAUGGGUAUGAUACGAAUACGAAGAAUGAUGUUGUGGGGGGGGGGGGAUCCAGGGAUUAGCCUAUGCACGUGAGGAGAUAAUAUGCGAACACAUUGAAGGGAUUACUGGCACUACGCAAACGCGGGAAGGGGACCGCGAAUGCGAAGGAGGGAGCACUAAGGCAGCGUGAACACGAGCAUGAGGCCGCGAUCGCGUAGAACAAAAAGUCUGUGUAAAAUUGCAGAAAAAUCUGACCCUUUUUCCUAAGUUCAAAACACCCCGAACUAACUCCGAAUCACUCCCGAGCCCUCGGGGCUCCAAACCAAACACACACACUAACUCAACAACAUCUUAUGGACUUAACCGAGCGAUCAAUUUGCUAGAAUAACAUCAUAAACGAGGAAUCAAACCUCAAAUUCAUCACUUUUCAUUCAAACUUCUUAAAUUUCCAACUUCUGAUAUUUAGGUCUGAAACACGUCAAAUGACGUCCGAUUUCGACCAAAUUACACAAAAACAUUAUAAACCAUAUAUAAGACCUGUACCGAGCUUUUGAUAUUUAGGUCCGAAAUACUCAAAUGACGUCCGAUUUUAACCAAUACACACAAAAACAUCUUAAACCAUGUAUAAGACAUGUAUCGAGCGUCGGAACCAAAAUACGGGCCAAUACUAAUGCUUUCUCAUCCAUUUUCAUUUCAAAUUUUCUUAUUAAUUCUAGAAAAAUAAUUUCUUUUAAAAAUUCAUUUAUCGGACUCGGGACCUUGGAUUUUGAUUCCGGGCAUACACCCGAGAUCCAUAUUUUUCUAUGGACCCUCCAGGACCGUCACAUCACGGGUCUGGAUCCGUUUACGUAAAAUAUUGACCAAAGUUAAUUUUAAUCAUUUUAAAGCCAAAUUUCAUUAAUUUUUACAGAAUUUAACAUAUAAGCUUUCCGACUACGCGCCCGGACUGUGCAUGCAAAUCGAGAAGACUAAAAGUGAGGUUUUCAAGGCCUUGGGUACACGAAAAAAGGGAGAAAACAGGUGAUGACCCUUUGGGUUGUCACAAAUGGCCACUAUUUUGCUGUAACAGAGAGUGGUCCAACAUAAUAUACUAGAGUUCGGUGCACUUGGUGUAUGAACUUCCAGCAUAUUAUGCUGGACCAGUAUACUUUGCUGUCUCCAGUAUAAUAUACUGGAGUUCCAGUAUAUUAAACUUUAGUAUUUUUCGGAUUUUGAACAGUGUUUUCGUUCAGAUAUCUUUACAUGAAAAGUGUUAAAUUUCGAUAACUUUUAAAACUGUGACUAUUUCUGAAUGACCACUUGUAAAUCUGGCUAUUUUUUAAUUUCUCCCAUAUAAUGAAGCCCAUCCCCGGUGCUCUUGGAGCAUAUUCUUUUCCUAAUAUUUUACUGUUAAUUUUACCAAAAAAAAUUGGUUAAUUCAAUUUCACCUUAUUAUAAUUCUUUUUACACCUUCAGUUAGUAAAUUCUAUAAGCCAGAUGAAAAUGCUUAUAAAAUACUGUUUAAAUUUCACAAAGUUGUAAUAAUUCUGCUUUGACUUCUUAAAUAUUGAAAUGAAGGACAAUGUAUAAUAUAUUAAAAUUUGCAUAUUGACCACAAAAUAUCCCUAACCGUACACUUGAUAGAAAGACAAUAUUCGAGGGAGUUUGAGUGAAAGGACCAAAAAGACUUCAAAAUGAGGAUGAAAAGCUUUUCAUAUCAAGCUGAGACAAUGGCAAAAUUAAUUAUCACCACUUCCAAUAAUAAUAUUGAAAUGACAUUACAAUCAAAAAUAAAAUGAUGGGUAAGGUAAUACUAUUGAUAUUCAUAUUCCUCCGUUUGGUGAUGAAAUAGAGGAAGAAAAACAAUGGUAGGAGUAACUUUUAGUAUUGUCUUUGGGUCAAAACUUGACCUCAUGGUAAUGAAUGAGAUUAGUGUAUUUAUUAAAGCAUAUUUAUGACUAAUAAAUGGCAUGGCCAUUUAUUCACAAGAUUAUUGGAUAGUUAUCCAAUUUGACAACUAAGGCCACGGCCUGGCCAUCCUCACGAGGGCGUCCCCUCUAUGUGGUUCCAACUCCUUGGGCCAGCUGGCAGAUCUCCUAACUAUAAAUACUAGGAGAAAGAACCUAAAAGAGGGGCUGCUUCAUCUUCUUCGCAUCUCCUUCUAAAAGAAGAGAGAAUACAUCAUUAUAAGACUCUGAACCUCUCCAUGGAGAGGCAGACCGAACCAACAUUAUCAAUAAAAGAUCCUCAUCCUCCUCCCUUUAAUCUAUAAUUGUUCUCUUAUAUUUUAUUUCUUUGGUAUUUGGAUUUAUUAGGAUCUGCUAUGAUUGGCCCUCCAUUUAUUUUGACUAUUUUAUGCUUCUAAAGUAAAUGAAAACUUUGAGCUAAACAAUUUGGCGGCAUCUGUGAGGAUUUCAUAGCAAAAUCACGUAGUUUAUUCUUAGACCAAAAAAGGAAAAUGAACAACCCAGCACGAACGAGCCCAAGCGGCAUAUCGGAUCAUAGGAAGUCAAAAACCUCGAGAUGAGCUUGUUUCCACAUCCCCGCGUCUUCGAGCAAAGGGAAGAAGAAGAAGAAGAAGAAGAAGCAGAUCCUCCAUCCCUAUAGGGAAACUAUGCCUAAGGUACCUCGCCCCUUUCCACACAGGAUCCUGCCAAAAGGGGAAAAAUCACAAAAGCAUCUCUCACAACCGAGAUCUGUAAUGGGGUAACCCACGCGAGCCAGUCGAAAAGACCACAAGCGCAAGUUAGGCAAGAUCUGAAACCAGAAACAAAUCCCACCCCCAAUACGAAGCGGGCUAUGUGGGAAAAAAAAGGUCAACUACGGUUGAACGUCAAUUCGGGCUAUGUUCCUUCACCUAAAAAAAGUUCAACUACGGUUGAACUAGGACUCAGGCUAUGUGCCUUCGACUUCAAAUAUUACAAAGGUUCAACUAUGGUUGAAUGUCAAUUCAGGCUAUGCGCGUUCACCAAAAAGUUCAACUACGGUUGAACGGGGACUCAGGCUAUGUUCCUUCGACUUCAAAUAUUACAAAGGUUCAACUACGGUUGAACGUCAAUUCAGUCUAUGCGCCUUCACCCAAAAUAUUUCAACUACGAUUGAACUGGGCUCAGGCUAUGUGCCUUCGACUUCGAAUAUUACAAAGGUUCAACUACGGUUGAACGUCAAUUCAGGCUAUGCGCCUUCACCAAAAAGUUUAACUACGAUUGAACUGGGACUCAGGCUAUAUGCCUUCGACUUCAAAUAUUACAAAAGUUCAACUACGAUUGAACGGCAAUUCAGGCUACGCGCCUUCACAUAUUACAAAAGUACAACUACGGUUGAACGGAAAUUUAGGCUACGCGCCUUCAAAUAUUACAAAGGUUCAUCUACGGUUGAACGUCAAUUCAGGCUAUGCGCCUUCACCCAAAAAGUUCAACCACGGUUGAACUGGGACUCAGGCUAUGUGCCUUCGACUUCAAAUAUUACAAAAGUUCAACUUCGGUUGAACGGAAAUUCAGGCUACGCGCCUUCAAAUAUUACAAAAGUUCAACUACGGUUGAACGACAACUCAGGCUAUGCGCCUUCACCCAAAAGGUUCAACUACGGUUGGAUUGGGACGCAAGCUAUGCGCCUUCAGAUAUCACAAAGGUUCAACCACGGUUGAACAUCAAUUCGGGCUACGUGCCUUCGACUUAGGCUAUGCGCCUUCACCCAAAAGGUUCAACUACGGUUGAACUGAGACUCAGGCUAUGCGCCUUCAGAUAUCACAUAGGUUCAACUAUGGUUGAACGCCCAUUCGAGCUGCGCGCCUUCGACUCCGGCGACGCGCCUUAAAAAAUUACAAAAGUUCAACUACGGUUGAACAACAACUCAGGCUAUGUGCCUUCAGAUAUUACAAAGGUUCAACUAUGAUUGAACUUCAAUUCAAGCUACGUGCCUUCGACUCAAGCUAUGCUCCUUCAAAAAUAACAAAAGUUCAAUUACGGUUGAACGACAAUCCAGGCUAUGCGCCUUCAAAUAUCAUAAGGGUCCAACUGCGAAUUGGACCAGAACUCAGGCCAAGUGCCCCCGUUACGAAUUGCAAAAUAAUUCAAUUAUGAGUUAACCCUGGACUCACGCUGCACUCCUUCGCCACAAAUACCACCAACUCAACCACGGACGAAUCAAAGAAUUACAAAAGAAUUCAAUUAUGAGUUGAACCACGACUCAGGCUACACGCCUCUGCUACAAAAGCAGCAAACUCAAUCACUGACAAAUCAAAUCCGAGGACACGUUUACGAGAUCAUGAGCCGGGCUGUGAUCAGGCGAGGACAAACGCCUCCAAAUGCCCAACCACGAACGAACUCCGGGUCGGGCCUAGCGCCCUCACCUUUCAAGUAAGUACGACUAACUAGAAACUAAAGUAUUAGCCCGCAUAAAGUUCGGCCAAGUCGAAACUACAAGGCCGCGUUUUUCGUUACCACGGCCAGUAGUUCGAAUAAGCCCGAACUGGGACUAAGGCCAUGUGCCGCCACUACCCAAACACGGCUACAACCCACUUCCCCAAGUGGAGGAAGGUGAUGACCAAGAGCGUCUACCUAUGGCCAAGGCCAUCCGCAUCAAUCGCCUCCUAAGGCGAAGGGUCGAUUAUACAAUGGUCGAACCACCUAAACAGCCGAGACUAUUAACAUGCCCACGGGGGAAACAUUAAAGCAAUGCCCUUGCAAAUGCUCACAAAAAAAUAAUAUAUAUAAUGUAUUCGACACAAAACAAACAGAAAAGAAGAAAACCACAUUUAUUUAUAAUAUUUAAAAGGGAUUACCCCCAAUUACAUUGGACCAAGGCCGGCAAAGAAAAAAGAGAAAAAGAAAACAAAAACUAAACAAACAUUAAAUUUUUUUUCAUUUGUUCACUCGGCGCCCCAAUGCCCCUUUCAGCAUUAUCAGCGCCAUCAACACCCCUGGGCGUAGACGGGUCAAAACCACAGUCGAGGUGGGCUUCAUGAUCCUUUUAGCGUGCCUUCUCAUAAGUGGCCUCAGACACGAUACCGGCUUCCUACAGCCGUCUGUACACGUCGAGCUGGGCCUCGGCAUACGUCAAAGCUCACGAGCAAGACCAAAAGAAGUGGCUUGGUCCCUCAGGAGCUGUUUCUCGGCCUCCAAGGCCGCAAUUCGAUCUGUUGCACCACGGGUGUCCCUCUCACAGACGACAAUACGCCCCUCCAACGAUCGCUCUUGAAAGGUAGCGGCGGCCCUCUCUAAUCCACGCUCCCUUUCUUGGGCACGGUUGGUUGCCUGCAGCGUUUCAACCCUUGCCAGGGCGUCCUUUGCCCGCUUCCUUGAAGUGGCGGCCUCAGUCUCUAGGGCAACCACUUGUCUAGUAAAAUCUUCAGCGGCCUUUGCUGCUGUAGCCAGAUUUUGGAACUUCCUCUCAGCAGCCGCCCUUCUCUCAACAUCCAUCCUCUCGUUCGCUUGGCGGAGCUGCCCCUCAAGAGCGGUUACCCUGCUGAGGGUCUGUUGCAUAUGAAGCUCCCUUCGCGCCAGCUCUUCUACCAGCUCCCGGUUCCGCGGAUCGUUCCUUAUGCGCUUGCACAAGCUGCGACACUGGUCACGGUAGAGGCGGUAUUUCUCCAAUAACCGCACAAAAAUUGCCGAGUGGGCGUUAGCCCGCUUGAUGCUCUCCACCUCCAACAAAAAUAAUGCACCAGCUCUUCUACCAGCUCUCGGUUCCGUGGGUCGUUCCUUAUGCAUUCACGAAUGCCGCGGCACUGGUCACGGUAGCAGCGAUACAUCUCUAACAGCGGCACAAAAAUCGCCGAGCGGACGUUAGCCCGCCUGAUGCUCUCCACGUCCAGCAAAAAUGUCUAGAAAAAACAGAGCGACAGUUAAUACAAGAAGACAUGCUAAGAAAGAAAAUAAACUAAAAUUUUAAUACAUACCUUUAUACUCAGGGCAGCCACCUCGCCCAUCAACCCGACGUCCGAGAUUCCCCUCAGGGACGUGCUCUCCGCUUCCGAGCACAGGACCCCGAACAACAUCACCAGGUUAUCCUCCUCGAGCGGUAGGUUCAGGUCGUUAGGGAUCUCCAAAUUAUGGUAAUCCCGUUCACCCUGCACCGUUGGGCGGGUAUAACCCUCCUAAAAAAGACGGACGUCCUCGGGAUCCAUAUCAGACUCCAAAUCAUCCCCCUUUCCUGAGAUGCCCCUUCCUUCCGCCGCCCUGGAAUUUGAGGCCUCUGCCGCCCGAGACAUCGAAGUACCCACAUUCGCCAUAACAUAGGCGCGUGCAAUCUCCACCAAAAUAGUUGCCGAGGAACUACCUUCCCUCUCAGCAAUAGGAACAGUAACUUGAAUCGCUGAAGCGAUUGUGUCGCCUUGGCCUGAUCCAACCGGGACCACUGAGUGCUCACCGGGGCAAGGUCCACUGUGCCCCCUCCUCCGCCGAUGGCAAAGAGUCUAAAAUAAUCACCACCGGAAGAGCCGGGGUGAACGCCAGCCUGCACCGAGCUAGCAGCCUCCCAUCUUCUUCUUCAGCUUCAUUCGGUGAUCGUUACGCCCUAGAAUUCAUGACCCUUGGAGACUCCUCUACUUGGGGCACGGGCCGUACCGGAGAGUGUGCAGCUGAGGAUUCCACUGAAGUCGCCCUCAGGACCGGGCGAGGCACUGACAUUGUAAUCAAUCGGGCAGUCACCCCCGGCCUGUGGAAAGUAAGCUGAGGAGCCCUCCUGCGCCAUGAUCGUCCUGACCAACCAAAGAAGAAGGGUAAGUCAAAUAAACAAUAGACACGAAAGAAGAUUAAUAACAGCAAAUCAGACUCUCAGAGCAUUUGGCCAAAGGAAAUCAAGGCCAGUGUAAAAGAAACUUACGUGCAUGGUUCCACUCCUAUGGGAAGUCAGUAGCACAGGCCACCAGGUGCCCGGUCCUGAUGUAGAAGAAAUGCUCGUAAUGACGGGUAGCGACCUCCUCAUCAAGCUCCGCAGUUAAGCCGUCGGUCCCACGAGGGACCAACCAAAUCAUGGUGCCGCAUACCCUCUGUGGGGCGUACGGAGUCAACACGUGCCCAAGUGUAAUUUUCCUUCGUGCCAACUCUGUAUAUUUGAUCAACAUCGCCAAUAAUUUGCAACAAGUAGGGACGAGCUGACCAGGGCACACCCUGUAGUAGCGGCAAAAGUCCACCACCAGCAUGGGGAAAGGAAGCCUAAAUCCCAACUUGAAAGGGUAGGCGUAAAAGACGCAGUAACCUUGGUGGUCGACGUGCACCCUGUCACCGCUUUUGGCCAGGACAAUGUCAGCGAAGGGAGGAAUAUCACAUUGCUCCUUCAGCUGAUAAAUGCCACUUUCCCCAUCAGUGGAGCCUCAUCCACUUGAUCUUCUCCCUCGGGGUCGGUAUAAUCGGUGGCCGGACCAUCGAGCAGGGAAAGAAUGUUAGUCACCGACGGGAACCAAUCAACAUUCGGCGAACUGGUGGUUCCCACCACCGUAGAUAGGCCCUCAGCCGCCACAACCCCCAGCGGAGCUAUAUUAGAACGAGAACUUCUCGCCAUUAUCAGUAUAACAAGAGAUAAAUGGCAAAAUUCACCAGAGAAACAAGAGAAUACAAAGAUCCGAUGAAAAUGACGGAGAAUAAAUUAACUAGGAGUAAAAGACUAGAUAAUCUGAAAGCAAGAAGGGUUAUCUCUCUUAGAAUUCCACUUAGACAAAUAUUGGAAAAGUGAGAACUGAACGAUACUACCCUUUAUUUCUAGACAAAGCAUAAAUGACCUUCACAAAUCCCAAAUGUCACCAUUAACUACCUGACCAAUCGCAAAACGGUGCAGGCCUACAACAGCGAGCACCAUUAUGGCAGAUACCAUUGAAUGGUCAUUCAACCGUCAAUCGACACGUCCCCCAUGAAACGGUUAUGACGACCUCAAGAUACCAUGGUCACUCCCCAUGCGUUAACAUUGUGAGCACGUGAUUUUUGCCUGUAUAUGAAUCAUUCCCAUAAAAUUCAAACAAAAAUAAUUUUUCUUUAUUUUACAAUCUUUGUGAAUUUUUGUGUCAUUCUCUAUUAAUUGUUUGCAUUUUUAUUUGUGCAUGAUAAUUCAUAAAAAUACAAAAAUAUGCAUUUUUGCAUCUAGGAAUUAAUAUCACAUUUUAGCAUUAAUUAAAGGUUAAUUUUCUUUAUCAAAAUAUGAAAAUUAUAAAAAAUUAGUUGACUCUUGCUUUUUAAUAUUUUAUUAGGAAUUUAUCAUAAAUUAGUUUUACCCAAUUUUAGGAAUUAGUUAGUCUUUGCUUUGAAGUGCAUUAGGAUUUUAGGUUGAUUUUUCACCUUCAUAAAAUCAAAAAAAAAAAAUACAAAAAAUACAAAAUGAAAAAACAAACAAAAAAAUAAGGAAAUAGAAAGAAAUCAAAAGAAAAGAUUUUAAAAGAGUUGGUCUUGCAAAAGAAAAAUUUUGGGCUGAUUUUUGAAUCAAAAUUGCCUAGCCUAAAGCAAAUUCAUGCCAGCCCAAGUCACACUCAUAUCCAAUCCAAUUGACCCAUCCCAGAGUCGCCCAAACAACGGCGUUUCAGUUUCCAAGCCAUCCUAGCCCUUGAUCUCCCUUUCAAUCCGACGGCCCACAACUUUCUAUGGAAAAUAUUUAACGGUCGGGGAUUAAUUAAAAUCAACGACAAACAAUCUUCUUCCUCGUACAAACCCUAAUUCUCGCUGGAAUCCCUCGCCGGCGGGAAACACUACUUUCGCCGUUGGUCCCCAAAUUAACACCGUCGAUUCCCCUCAACCUCCUCUUCCCAUUCCCCAUGGUUAUAUGCUUCGAAUGUUCCCAGAAAACCUCGAAUGUCUGCUUGAAAUGUUUUGGCCAAAAUGCAAAGUAUGUCAAUUACCACCAAAUUUACGCCACAGGCUCGCCUGAACCUCCUCAUCCCAAGUACCCAAACUGUUUUCUUCGAAUUAUCACCAUGCCUCUCGAAUUUUAUAAUUAAAAUUUUCCGAAAAACCUAAAUUCUCAGAAAGAAUUUCCAAGUCGAUAUCACAUGAUCGGCAAGCCUUCCCAAUGAAGAAACUCACAUGCAAUGGUUGUCCAUUCACAUUAGAGUCGCACGAAGUUUCCUGUAAAGGUUGGCCGGAGUCUUGGUGUGUACCAAUGAGUUCUUAUUCUCCUUUUUUGCUUAUUUCAGUUCAUUUCUUUCUUUCUUUCUUUCUUUCUUUAUUUCUUUCUUUCUUUCUUUCUUUCUGUUUCUAUGCAUGUGUGAGUUCUUGGGCCGAAAUUCUCGAUGUUAAUUUUUGUUUGGUUUUCGGUUGAUUUUAUUGUUACGAUUAGUUUUCGCCUUGCUCGUAAUUAUUUUUUCCUUUUUAUUGCUGGUUAGAAUAAGUGUAAUUGUGUUUUGGGUUUUUAAUUAAGCUGGUGGCUGAUUUUUGGCUUUAAUUUUAUUUCUGAUUGGUUAAUAGGAAUUUGUAGUUUAGUAUAUUAAUCAGGGAUAUUUUUAGACAAGUUACUGCACGUCUUAGUUCAGGGAAAGGGUAAGGGGUCUAGUAUAGUUAACUGUAGUUAGUAAUUUUAGGGGGUAGUGAAGGGUAUUGUGGGAUUUGGUAAUAGGAUACAAUAUUGCGGAUAAUGCUAGAACCUUUUAGAAUAGGGUCGUAGUUUCAAUAUCAGAAAGUUGAGUGUUUUCCUUGAAGCACAAGUUAAUAAAUUAGGUAUUGAAAAUGCAAAUUGAAUAGGGACCUAAAGGGUGAUCUAAAAUAUGAGUUCACCAAUAAAAGGGCAUAGAAAUAGCCUUGAUAGGGGUCUUCUUCCUUCAACCAUUCUGGAGCUCAUUAAACCCUUCUCCAUUCUUCCAAUUUGAAGGAGACCAUCUUAAUUUCAGAAAACACCAAAAAAUAAACAGAAUUCAAAAUAAAAAAUGGCAAUUACUAUUUCAUUGGGAUCUUAGUUUAAGCUCAAGUCCUCUUGAGUAUUUGAUUGUUGUUUCUGAUAGCUACUGGUCGAUUUCAAGGCAUAAUUGAUAGUAAAAUAAACAGAAUUCAAAAUAAAAAAAUGGUAGUUACUAUUUCAUUGGGAUCUUAGUUUAAGCUCAAGUCCUCUUGAGUAUUUGAUUGUUGUUUCUGAUAGCAACUGGUCGAUUUCAAGGCAUAAUUGAUUUCUCAAAUUUUCUAGGUUGUUUUUGAGGCUAUUCGAGUUAGAUUUGUAGUGUUAUUUGAGUUUCAAAUUCAUUCUGUUUGCUGGAUCUGUUCCUGGGUUGUGUGACUUCAUUAUUGGAUUAUUUGAUCAUUUAUAUUGCUGGGGAGUAGUAUUUGCUGCUGUUGUUGCACUGAUUUGCUUACCUCCUUUUUCUUUUUGUUUGAAUCUUCAUUUUCCAGGUACUUGUUCAAAAUUGGCUAGUGUAAGUGUUUGAAUUGAAGCUGGAAUGAAAUGGUUCUUAUGAAAUUACAUGUAUUCGAAUUGUAGCAGAGUAAUAGAUCUGUAUGAACUUAGUUUGAUUUAAUCUAUAUAACUAGGUUAAUGAAAUUGCUUGAUUUGGUUUAGUUUGUAUAAUUGGACUUAUAAACUGUUAUAAUAUUGCCUUCGCUUCAUUUUAAUAUGAUAUAACUUUUGAGUUAGACCUUUAACUGGUUUGUGGUAUGUAAAAGCAGCCGAUGGCUUUUGUUUCUUGGAUACUGAGGUAAUCAACCAUUCUGCGAUUAAAUUGAUACUUGUUUAAAGGGAGAUAACCAUUCUAAUUAGAUUCCAAUCGACUUUAAAGGCUAGUUUGGAAUUUUCAAAGCAUGAUUCAUAAUUAGUUUAAUACAUCCAUUGUUUUGAGUAAACUAUUAGAUUAAUUUUGAUAAGUAUUUGAGUCUGUUUGAUUCUGGGCCAUUUUUAGUUAAAAUAAUUAGGUCGUCAGCGUAUAAUAAAAACGGGUCCAUUUGGUGGGGGUUUGGAUUUGGGAUUUGAAUGAGUUAUCUUGCUAAAAGGACCAUGCUGGUUCAAAAAUUUGAUCCCAGGCAGGGCGUUAGAGCCGCAUGGGCUAAUUUUCAUUAUUGCUGGGCCUGAAACAAUUGGGCCUUAUCACAGCCUAUCGUACAUGCCAGUUUGGGAUAAGAAAUAACGUGAUUUUAGUUUGAGUUGAUAUAAUGCUUUUCAUAAUUAAUAUGAUUUUAUUUCUUUAUUAGGGCAAAAACCAUACAAAAUAAAAAAAAUUGUAGUCACUUUUAGGUUGGCCUUUUAAUAAAAUGUUGAGACGAGUCUCGCCAAACAAAAACAAAUGCGGGGGCCUCGAUAACUAUUAUAAGAAUUGAUUAGAAUAUGGGAGGUCUGUUUCAUGGCCUUCCCCAGAUAAUAUUGCGUCAAAAUUUUUAGAUGCGUUUUAAUUAAAAAACCUUCUUAAACUCGAGUGUGCAUUGAUGCGACCCAAAUCUAAAUCUCGACGAAGACAAAAUGUGUUGAUAACCACGGGUGCCUUUAUGGAGACGGGGUUAGAAACACGUUUUCAUAACGUCGUAAUUCUUAUAAAACAAAUAAUGAUCGAAAAUUGGUUAAAAAAUGGAGACGAGCCUCACCCCCUCAAUACUUGUUUAUAACAAUAAUUAGAAUUUGGAAGGACCGUUUAGCGAAUUUUAAUGUCUUUUUCCCAAACAAUAUUACGUUAGAACCUUUAAACACGAUUUAAUCAAAUUAUUUCCUUAAACUCGGGUGCGCAUUGAUGUGACCCAAAUCCAAAUCUCGACGAAGUCGAAAUGUGUUGACGAACACGGGUGCCUUGAUGGCGACGUAGUCGGAGACACGUUUUCACGACGUCGCAAGUCUUUUAAUAUAAAUAAUGGUAAAAACGAUUUAUAAAUAAAGGGCACAUAAGUUAGCAUGUAAUAAAAUGUGAUAAAAAAUCAAAUACAGCAGUUUAGUGACCGUGCUAGAACCACGGAACCCGGAAAAACCUAACACCUUCACACGGGUUAACAGAAUUCCUUAUCCGGAUUUUGGGUUCGCGGACUGUAAUACAGAGUCAAUCCUUUCCUCGAUUCGGGAUUAAUCCGGUGACUUGGGACACCAUAAAUCUCCCAAGUGGCGACUCUGAAUAAUUAAUAACUAAACCCCAUUCCGAUUGUCCUUUAAUUGGAAAACUCCUUUACGCCCCUUUGCGGGGGUGUAUAUCGAAGAAGGAGGUGUGACAGCUCUAGCGACUCUGCUGGGGAAAGAGAACCUAGAACAUUUUGUUCACGGUUCAGAAUUCAAGCUUAGAUAAAUUGUUGUGUUUGGUUAUAUCUGAUUUUUGUACAUGUUUUAUGCUUAAUGUGCUAAAUGUUACUGCUUUGAUAUUAUCUGAACUGUAUAUAAACUGUGUCGAUACCCUUCUAUCUUCAUCUCCAGGGAUGUGCUUAUUGGUUGAGACUCCUUAUUCUGUUAGUGGCAUACCCUGUUACAAAGCUGGACGAUCCCGCGGGUCAUCGGUACGUUUCUCCCUCCUCGACUCGAGUUGUCUGCUCGGGUACACUGUCUAGAACACCGACCCAGGUUUUGAACAUAGAAUAACUUGACUUCAUACUAGAGCCCUAGUAGGAGCGCUUAUUUGCAUCAUGCUAUAUUUGACUUAGGGGACUCAACACAGGGGUUGGGUCCAUCUAGGGCUAGCAACCUGAAAUGAAAAAGACCAUCCUGGUGCAUCCUACUUGUUCCGUGCAUUUAUUUGUUCGAACCUACACGUUGACCGGUUUUGAAUCUUGGAAUGUGAGAAAAGUAAAAAAAAAUAGAGAAAAUGAGAGAAAUAGCAGUUAGGGAGUUAAUAUUUGAAUAAAAUCUAGUGCCCAAGUACUGUCGAAACUCUGCCGUAAUUUUGAAAAAACAAAAGAGGAAAAAAAAGAAAAUGUUUUUUAUGUAAGUUUUUUUUGUUAAAGGCAAAAGAAUAAUAGAAAAAGAAUCGUUUAUUUUGGGGAAAAAUUGUCUGAAAAAUAGAAAAAAAUGGUCAUUUCGAUUUGAUUUCAAAAAUUAGUAAAUGGAGUAAAGCUUGGAGAAGGUUUUGAUUUAAAAAAAAAAUCUCUCAAGACUUAGAUUAACGCUCAGCAUUUCCCUUGAACAGCUAAACCCGAUGAAAAGGCGAACCUGCUCUCCCUUCGGGUCACCCAUUCAGGACCUUUUGGAUCCAAUCCAGGAAAGCAGAAAGCAAAGCCUGGUUCAAGCAUGACUGGCAUCAGUUUCUAUUAACUGUAUCUGCUUAUCAGCAAAGAAAGUUUAAAUAUAGCUUAUCCUUCAAUCAAUCUCUAUGCUUCAUUUUAAUUAGCUAUAAGCGUAACAAUGCCAUGCUGGCAUUAUCGACAAAUCAAGAAUGGAAGAAGGAUCCAAUCAACUUUGGUGUAAAAGAUCUCUUUCAAUCUUCUCCCGGUCUUUCAUUUCAGGUAAGAAAUCUGUUUACUAGUAACAGUUUACAGAUAAGCUAUCUCAGAAUGUAGAACUCAGAUGGGCCUUCCAAUCCUAUGGAUCUUAGCUGCCCGGGAUAUGAGUUAUGCUUUUCCCGUUUUUGUUGGAAAGUACCUUUCACUUUCAUUGGCAUGCAGGAUUCACUUCACAGUCAAUUUUUUUCUUCUUGACAGAAAGCAUUCCAUCCUUCCCUUCCUUCAUUGAUUGAUUCUAUUUGAUUUAAAAAAAAAAUUUAGUUAGUUAUUUGCUCGAACUACGCCGGUUUGAUUCGCAGGGUGUGGGAUACGUAGGCAACCCUCAUCGGGUCCAACAUUUCUUUCGAAAAAUAGCCAAAUGUCAAAAGGUUUCAAUUUGUGUCAUAAAUAAGUUAGGUGACGCUGUGUGCAAGAAUAGCCGAACGUUCUCAAACGGGAUGCCGGAAGGGUGACUUUGCAUAAACAACCACCUUUUAUCAUAUUUUAAUUUUUGGACCCUCACAACCUUAAAAUCAACGUUCCCGAGGCAAUGAAAGGCCGUGUUUACAAUACCGGGUCAUUUAUUUAUAUAUUUGAAAAUGUAAAAAGAGUCGUAGAAGUUGAGUGAUGCUGUUUUUGAAAAAACAGCCGAACGUUCCCAAACGGGACGCCGGUAGGCUGACCUUGCGUGAAUGGCCACUUUUAGUCAUGACUUUAUUUUUGACCCUCACGGCCUUAAAUUCGCGUCCCCGUGGCGUUGAAAGGUCAUGUUUUCAACCUUUGGUAUUUUAUUUUAAUUUGAGAAGCAAGAAGAGUCAUAGAUAAGUCAAGCAAGGUCGUUUUGUUAUAAAUCGCCGAAUGUUCCCGAAAGGGGCGCCGGAAGGCUGACUUUGCAAAAAAGACCAUUUCUGUCCGAUUGAUUCGCACAGCCUACAAAUCUUCGUUUCCGAAGUGCUAAAAGGCCGUGUUUUGAAAACUGAGUUUUUUGUUUUUUUAAAUUUUGAAAGGGAAUAUAGAUAGUUUUGUUUUUGAGUUGAAUAUAAAUUUUUCUUCUUUUUAAUCGCCUUAAUAAAUAUGCAGGAUGAACACAAUGAAAAAUGAACCUUUUUCAAUAUUAACCAAAGUCCCUUUCGAGUUUAAAUUAUGGUGGAAUGAUUUGGGCAAAAAGGGGCAGGAUGAAGUGAAGAAAUAUCUGAAGGGUCUCACGGGUUUGUUAGACAUCAAUCCUCGAGGUUAUAUCAUCAGAGCGCUGGUUACUUUCUGGGACCCAACACAUAAUGUUUUUCACUUCUCGGAUUUGAGUUAACUCCAACUUUGGAAGAAAUAGCUGGGUACAUCGGAAAUGAUGAGAUUCCACUAAAAGAACAAUAUCCGAUUGCUCCAAGAUCCAUCACAGUGCAGCGGGUUUUAGAUAUGUUGAAGAUACCCAGGACAGUUCACAAUCCAGAUUUGGCAAAGGGUUUCUGCACUCCCCGAUUCAUAUACGAUAGAUACGGUCAUGUGGGAGGGUUCAACAACUCGGGUAUCAAGCUAUGCAAUAAAAAUAACAGAUGAAAGUGGACACUCCCUGAUUCAUAUGCGAUAGAUACGGCCAUGUGGGAGGGUUCAACAACCCGAAUAUCAAGUUAUGUAGUGGAAAUAACUGGCGGAAGUGGGAGAAGCACAGAAGAGUGGCCUUCAUGAUAACCGUUUUGGGCAUCUUAGUGUUCCCAAGGAAAGAUGGGAAUAUUAAUAUAAAGAUGGCCGGGAUCGUUAGUGCUUUGCUUAGCCAUGGUGGAAGUACUCUCGCACCUAUGAUCGUGUCCGACCUAUUCCGAGCUCUUACUGCCUGUAAAGCCAGGGGCACUUUUAUUGAAGGGUGUAAUAUGUUGUUGCAGAUAUGGAUGAUCACGCAUAUGUGCUACCGUUCCCAGUUUUUGAGUUAUGGUUUGCCCGAUAAAACUUGUAUUGUGAGAGUUUCACACCAGAACUGAUGGGGUUAGUUUUCCAGAAGGUGUAAAGGCAUGGGUAUCGUACUUCCGGACGCUCAAGGCCAAUCAGAUACAGUGGACUUUGGGAUGGUUUCCCGUAGGAGAAAUCAUAUACAUGUCAGCUGCCGGGUCACAUUUCCUUCUGAUGAGGCUGCAUAGCAUCCAACCUUAUGCUCCUUAUCGGGUUCUAAGACAACUUGAGAGAUAUCAAAUAAUCUUACUAAAGGAGGAUUUGAGCACUCAAGUGAUUGAGAUUAGCCAGGAUGGACAGUUUCCUGAAGCAAGAGUUCGCCGAGUGUGGAAUGAAGGUCAAUGCUUACAACCAGAUACAUGUGUGGUGGAUCAGGCCAGGGGUGAAGUGGUGCCAAAUUACCUCAUGUGGUACAAGAGAGAACUUGAACAUCAGAGGCCAGCUAAAAUACCUCACGUCCAAGAUUUGUUGAAACAUCACGAGAGAAGUGGGAUUGGGUAGCGAAGGUAGAUGGUUACCGAGCUGAGAUUGGGAAGCUUAAGAAACAAGUAGAAAGUUUGAAAUUUGAAAAUAGUGUACAGGUCGCUGCGGAUCAGGGUGAAAAGAAUAAAUUGGCCCAAGAAAACGCAGAGCUUAAGUCCCAAGUCCAGCAAUUGAGAGUAGCCUUCGAUAAACAACCGAUGAGUCAAUCAGAUGAACGAUUGAUUAAAGGGUUAAGAAAUGAGGUUAGGGAGUGCCGGGAUGAGUUAGAAAAUUUGAGAGUGUUAUGGCAGGGAUCAAAGCACAAUGGGCUACAAGAGCAGCAGAGCGUCGCCAAUACUUGAACCAACUAGAAAGGGACAACGAGAAAGUUGUUGACACUAUGAAGAGAAAAGUGGCUUACCUUGAGGGAACAGCAGCCAGGCAUGCCAGGGAUUUCAAGAUUGAAAGUGGACAGUGUUACGAUCUUAUGGCCCGAAUGGAGGUAGAGGUGCAAUAGUUGCAAAAUCAACACCUACAAGAUUCUUGGGCAUUAAAGACAUGCACUGACCAGCUAGAGCGCUGUCUUACAGAAAAGAUGCGAACAAGGGACCGGAUUAGAUCCAAUUCUUGGGAUAUUUUUAGAAGAUGCCGGGUCUAUGAGGAUAUGCCCCAUACGACUUUCGUCCAUGCAGUGCGGAUCAAUGUGAAUCAAGUAGUGAAUGAAUUAGACCACCUCAAAAGGGACUUGGUACCUAGGCCCACGGCGAGGCCGAACGACGCCCCGCGGGAACCUAGAUUUGAGUCAUUAGAGUAUGAGUAGGUUGUGUCUGUAUCUUUUUCUAUUUUACGUCUGUUUGCCCGUUGUUUUUCAUAUCAAAGUGAGUCUGUAGUUGGUAUUUAGUCUUAGUUUGUAUCUGUAAUUUCCUUUUGCAAAAAUGUUUAGUUUGUAAUAAUUUGUGUAAGUAAUGAAAAUUUGAAAAUUCCCAAAAAUUGUUUUCAUUUUAUUUUCGCACUUAUUUUCACGAACAACACUUGAUCUGAUUCGUGUGGGGUCACGAUACGUAGGCAAUCUCCAUAGGAUUCGACCGUAGUCUCAAACAAAAAGAAAAAAAGAAAUGGAGGAAAAGGAAAAGAAAGAAAGAAAAGAGUGGUAAAACAAAAACGAGAAUAAAAGAAAAUAAAAGAAAGAAAGAUAUAUGGAAAAACAAAAGGCGAGAAUAAAAGAAAAGAAAGAAAAGAAGAGCGGAAAAAGAAAAGGUAAGAAUAAGAGCGGAAAAAGAGAAAGAGCGAAAAAACAAAGGUAAGAAUAAGAAAAGAGAGAAGAAAGAAAGGAGCGGAAUAGAAUGAUAAAAUGAAACAAAAAGGAAUGCCGGGAUGAUACAUGUGGGCGAACAAAUGCGUAAUAGAAAUGGUUAACUAUAUAGGUGCAUUAAUGCCAACGUUCGGUAAUCAAAUCUGUUAAAGCCUAAUCGUUAACGAAGUGGUUGUUUGAAUUUGUGUGUACAGGCAGGUGGUUAGUUGGUUUGCAAUUCUGGAAACUCACCAUUACAACACCCGAUCGAAGGAUAAAGAAAUGACUGGACAGGAUUCAGAUACUAGUAUUGUGGACCCCAUGAAAGAGGUCGAGGUGACCGAUAUGGGGGCUAUGAAAGAAGAAAUGAAGAAGUUGAAAGCCCAAAUGGAUGCCAUGCACCGGACUUGGUCUCAGGGGCACCCAGCACCAUUAUACCCCGCCAACCCCUCGUAUAUCCCACAUCGAUGUGGGGGCUAUGAAAGAAGAAAUGAAGAAAUUGAAAGCCCAAAUGGAGGCUAUGCAUCUGGCUUGGUCUCAGGGGCACCCAACACCAUUAUACUCGUCCAACCCCUCUUAUAUCCCGCACCUAACACAGGAUCAGGAGUCUUCCACUCCCGAAACAUCCCCACCCUACAAAUAUAACACCCAAGGGUAUGCCACUACUUCAUAUGCUCCACCGGCUCCACCACCCAAGUAAAAUCCUCCCCCGCCCAUGGCUCCAAUCUUUGUGGAUCCUUCUCCAUCUCCAUUACAAAGGUCCUCUAAUGAACCACUAUUUCAAGCCCAUGACGCACAAUAUUACCCUCCUGAACCCACCUUUAAGGCUCCUGAGCCGUACUCAUAUAACCCUCAUUUUGAGAUCCCACCAGAAGUCCAGAAACCAGUUAAAAAUGCAGAGCAUGAGGAAGUGAUCAGAAAAUUCAAAAGCCUGGAGCAAUCCUUCGGGAACAUGCAUCGAUUGGGCAGCCAGGUCAGUGUUGCCUAAAAGGAUUUAUGCCCUUUCCCAGAUGUACAGCUACCCGCGAGGUUCAAGAUGCCUAAAUUUCACCUGUACGUUUUAGGAGCAUGCACGGGUUGGGCAGCCAGGUCAGUGUUGCCUAUAAAGAUUUGUGCCCUUUCCCAGAUGUACAGCUGCCCGCGGGGUUCAAGAUGCCUAAAUUUGACCUGUACGAGGGACAUGACGACCCGGUGGACCACCUCCGCAGAUUCUGCUGUAAGAUGAGAGGUGCUGGGGGAAAACAUGAAUUACUGAUAGCAUACUUCGGACAAAGUCUGAGCGGGUCUGCAUUGGAGUGAUACACCAGACAGGACCCUAGCCGACGGUAUACGUGGGAUAAUCUUGCACAUACAUUCAUUGGCCAUUUUCAAUACAAUCUCGAGAUAGUCCUUGAUCGUCUGUCAUUGCUGAAAUUUGAGAAGAAGCCGGGAGAAAGUUUUAGAUAAUUUGGUUUCCGAUGGAGAGAGCAAGCAGCCAGAGUGGAUCCCCCAAUGACGGAAAAAGAGAUGGUAGACUAUUUUCUGCAAACGUUGGAACCAUCAUACUUCGGUCAUCUAGUGACUUCUGUGGGUAAAUCGUUUAAUGAAGUAGUGAAGAUGGGUGCCAUGAUUGAAGGGGGUUUAAAGUCUAACAAAAUCUUGAGUUAUUCAGCACCAAAAGCAACCACAUAGGCCAUACAAAGCGGUACUGGUGGUGUGCUAGGAAAGAAGAAGAAGGAAGAACUGGCCACAGUGGAAACUAGCACCUGGUCCAGGCCCAACAAUCCUCCACCCUACUAUAGCCAACCCAAACCCCAUCACCCAAACUACCCAUAUACCCCAUACGGCCCACCACAAAACUACUACCCACCACUAGAACCACACUUCUUUGUCCACCAUGCCCAGACAUAUACACAUCCUCCGGCGCAUCCGCUAUGGCGUGUGCCGGCUCCCCAAAACACAUAUACACCUCCACAAAACACCUAUCCACACCCCAGGACUACAUACCAGGACCCGGCUUUCGCCCAGACCAAACUUUUUGAAAUGAGAGGGCCCCAAACAAAAGAACUUUUACCCCGUUGGGAGAAUCUUACACCGCUUUAUUCCAUAGACUGAGAGUUGGGAAUGUUAACCCUAAUCGAGCCCAAAGUACCCAACCCACCUCCCAGAAACCUAGACAAGUCCGUCAGCCGUGAGUACUACUCGGGAAUGCCGGGGCAUGAGACUGAAAAAAUUUUGGAAGUUGAAGAAUACGGUACAUGAGCUUAUUGACAACCGCCAAAUUGAAGUAUAGGGCCCGAAGGCUCCAAACAUCGAUCAGAAACAGCCGCCAUCACAUCACGAGACUAACAUGAUUGCGUUGGUACACAAGGAUGGAGAGGAAGAAACUUUCACAAACCGUGAUGAUGAUUCGUGCUAUUGGGACCAGUUCAAAAGAGAAGAUGACUCGGGGAUAGGUAGGGGAGAAGAUGAAAGGUGCAAGUCACAAGUUAGUGGUAGUGAUGGGGAAAGAAUUAUCUGUUGUUGCAAAGAAAUUGGAACCAGUUAAGUUGGUGGUACCAAGGGCGUCACCCGCGCCCGUGGUUGUUGUGAAAUGUGCUUACAUAGAGCCAGUGAUCAUCAAGCAUGUAGUCCAGUUACCCAUGGUUGAUAGAAAAGCUGUGCCAUGGAAAUAUGAGAAGAUGAUAGUAACAUACAAGGGAAAAGAAAUUGAGGAGGAGAGCUGUGGGGCGCAAGGGUUGACUCGAUCGGGGCGUUGCUUCGCUCCCGAGGAGUUGAGAAAGGCUAGGGCUACUAAAGACAAUCCAGUGUUGAUCAAGAAGGCUGUUACAGAGGAGGAAGCAGAAGAGUUCCUUAGAAAGAUGAAGGUACAAGACUAUUCUAUUGUCGAGCAGCUAAGGAAAACACCGGCCCAGAUUUCGUUGUUGUCAUUGUUGAUCCACUCUGAUGAACAUCACUGAGCCUUGAUGAAAAUAUUAAAUGAAGCCCAUGUGCCUGAUAAGAUUUCACUAAACCACUUGGAGACAAUUGCUAAUAGAGUCUUCGAUGUAAAUAGGAUAACAUUUUCGGAUGAUGAGUUGCAUGUGGAAGGAACAAAACACAAUCCCUUUCAGUCAAAUGUGAAGAUUCAGUAGUGACCAGAGCAUUGAUAGAUAAUGGGUCUAGUGCCAAUAUUUGCCCGAUGUCUACACUGAACAAGCUAAAGAUCGAUAAUGACUGAAUCCACAGGAAUAAUGUGUGUGUCUGAGGGUUUGAAGAGAGCGGAACAGACACGCUGGGGGACAUUAUCCUCGAGUUUACCGUCGGCCCAGUUGAGUUUACAAAUCCACAGGAAUAGUGUGUGUUUCCGAGGGUUUGACGGGGGCGGGACAGACAUGGUGGGGGACAUUAUCCUCGAGUUGAUCAUCGGCCCAGUUGAGUUUACCAUAGAGUUACAGGUGUUGGACGGUGCUGUAUCAUACAAUCUUUUGUUGGGACGACCAUGGAUCCAUACAGCUAAAGCAGUGCCUUCCUCAUUGCAUCAAAUGGUUAAAUUUGAAUGGGACAGGCAAGAAGUGGUGCUACAUGGAGAAGACCCCAAAAGCGCUGCAGGCGAUGCUAUUGUGCCCUUUAUAGAAACUGAUGACGAUAAGGGGCCGUGGGUCUAUAAGAUUUUUGACACGAUCACUGUGAACAAGGUACCAGAGGGUAAAAACAUCCCACGUCCCCGAGUAGCAGCUGCAACCGUCAUUGUGGUUUCAGAAAUUAUGGGUAAUGGGUUUGUCCUGGGAAAAGGUUUGGGUGCCAAGCUUUAGGGUAUUUUUCAACCCAUUUCUUUGCCCAAGAAUUUAUACACCUUUAGGUUGGGGUUUAAUCCAACAACAGAAAAUAUCAGAAGGGCCCGCAAGUUGAAAAAGAAAGCUUGGGUUCUCCCCAAACCAAUUCCACGUCUGUCCAAAUCCUUUGUUAAGCCGAGGGCCAAAAAGCAGUUAGCAACACAGGAGACGGGUUCAUUGAUUGCAGAAGAGGGGAAUUUGGAUGAAGUGUCUGAGAGGGUAUUUGCUGAAGUAAACAUGGUUCAGGCUGGUGAAGGUUCCAUUAAUGCAAACAUUCAGUACGUUGGGACACAUGCUAGGAUCAAUAAUUAGGAAGCCACUCAUCUGCCCGUUUGGAGGGAGUCUCGGUAGUGGAGCUUUGUUUUUCUUUUUGUUUUCACCUGGAUUAUUCCAGGGUUUUCAAUCCUCUUGACUAUGUUCCGUCCAUUUGGAUAAGCUAAGCCCUGUUAUCUUUAUGUUUUAAUGAAAUGCAAUUUCCUUUCCUUCUUCUUUCCUAAUUUUGUUUCCAUUUUUCUUUUCUUUUAUGUACAGUUCUUUUUAUGCUGAUAUCAGUGACAUGACAUGCAUGAGGACAUCUUGGCCUAGUUUUAUAGGCCAACCUAACUCAAAAAUAAUAAUACCUUUACAGUUAUUUUUAUGUUGAUAUCAAUGACAUAACAUGCAUGAGGACUUCUCGGCCCGGUCUUAUAAGCCAACCUAACUCAGAAAUAAUAGUACAAGAAAUUGAAUGUGAUGAUAAAGAGGAAUACGAUGAUGAUGAAGCCUAUGAGGAAAUUAGUAAGGAAUUAGAACACUUUGAGGAAAAACCCAAACUGAACUUAAAUGACACAGAAGCAGUUAAUCUAAGGGACCAAGAUAAUGUCCGAGAAACUAAAAUAAGUGUUCAUCUGGAGCCGCCGCUCACGGAAGAAAUAAUCGUGGCAUUGUUGGAAUAUAAAGAUGUUUUUGCUUGGUCCUAUGAUGAUAUGCAGGGGAUUGAGUACCGAUUUGGUGGCUCAAAAAUUGCCUACUGAUCCAUCACUCCCACCUGUUAAGCAGAAACUGAGAAAGUUCAAAACAGACAUAAGUGUGAAUAUUAAUGAAGAGAUAACUAAACAAUUUGAUGCAAAGGUCAUUCGGGUUACACGGUAUCCCACCUGGUUAGCUAAUGUUGUGCCUGUACCAAAGAAAGAUGGCAAAACCAGGGUGUGCGUUGAUUAUUGAGAUCUUAACAAGGAGAGUCCAAAAGAGUACUUUCCAUUGCCAAACAUCCAUAUAUUGAUCGACAAUUGUUCCAAACAUGCGGUUGGUUCUUUUGUGGAUUGUUAUGCGGGUUACCAUCAGAUCUUAAUGGAUGGGGAAGAUGUAGAGAAGACGAUAUUCAUCAUGCCAUGGGGAACAUACUGCUAUCAGGUCAUGCAAAUUGGUUUGAAUAAUGCCGAGGCAACUUACAUGAGGGUUAUGACAACGAUCUUCCCUGAUAUGAUAGAUAAAGAGAUUGAGGUGUACGUAUAUGAUGCGUAUGUGAAAUCAAGUAAGAAGUAUGACCAUGUCAGGGAUUUGAGAAAAUUCUUUCAAAGGCUACACAGGUACAAUCUCAAGCUCAAUCCUGCAAAGUGUGCUUUCAGGGUGCCAUCUGGAAAGUUUCUAGGGUUUGUAGUCAGUUGCCGGGGUAUUGAAUUGGAUCCAUCAAAGAUUAAGACCAGUCAAGAAUUGCCGCCUCCGAGAAACAAAACUGAUGUGAUGAAUUUUUUGGGAAGAUUGAAUUACAUUAGUAGGUUUAUUGCUCAGCUCACAACUACUUGUGAACCCAUUGUCAAACUGCUAAAGAAGGAUGCUGCGAUUAAAUGGACGGAUGAAUGUCAAAAAGCUUUUGAUAAGAUAAAGGAUUAUUUGUCGAAUUCGCCCGUGUUGGUUCUGCCAGAACCAGGGAGGCCUUUGAUUCUGUAUCUGAUGGUCUUGGAUAAUUCAUUUGGCUGCGUACUGGGGUAGCAUGAUGCCACAGGUAGAAAGGAGCAGGCAAUCUACUAUCUCAGCAAGAAGUUUACAUCUUACAAGGUUAAGUAUACUCAUCUUGAGAGGACGUGUUGUGCUCUAACUUGGGUAGCACAGAAGUUGAAGCAUUAUUUAUCGUCAUACACUACUUACCUCAUAUCUCGGUUAGAUCCACUAAAGUAUAUUUUCCAGAGGCCUAUGCCCACGGGAAGGCUUGCAAAGUGGCAUAUCUUGCUUACGGAAUUUGAUAUCAUCUAUGUGACGCGGACCGCGAUGAAAGCAUAAGCCUUCGCUGACAUUUAGCUGAGAAUCCAGUUGAUGAUGAUUAUGAGCAUUUGAAAAAACUUACUUCCCUGAUGAAGCGGUAAUGCAUAUUGAUGAGUUGGAGCAGGUAGAGAAACCAGGAUGGAAACUGUUCUUUCAUGGAGCAGCAAACAUAAAAGGCGUGGGAAUAUGAGCCGUACUUAUUUCUGAAACAGGUCAGCACUAUCCUGUUGCGGCUCAGCUUCGUUUCUAUUGUACAAACAACAUGGCAGAAUAUGAAGCAUGCAUUUGGGGUUGAGAUUAGCUGUGGAUAUGGGUGUCCAGGAAGUCUUGGCCAUGGGUGACUCGGACCUACUGGUACACCAAAUCCAAGGAGACUGGGAAACGCGGGAUUUGAAAUUGAUACCAUACUGACAGUGCCUGCAUAAGCUUUGUCAAUGGUUUCAAAAAGCUGUGGUGGAUUUUGUGCAUGCGAACAUUAUUUGUCGGUUUGGUAUACCAAGGGUGAUUAUCACGGACAAUGGGGCUAAUCUCAACCGUCAUUUGAUGAAGGAAACAUUUGAGCAGUUCAAGAUUACUCAUCGUCAUUCUACUUAGUACCGCCCUAAAGAAAAUGGAGCGGUUGAAGCGGCCAACAAGAACAUAAAGAAAAUACUGCAGAAAAUGGUUGAAGGGUCUAGACAAUGGCAUGAGAAGUUGCCUGUUGCAUUGUUGGGAUAUUGCACCACCGUUCUUACUUUGGUGGGGCGACUCCUUAUUCAUUAGUGUAUGGCACCGAGGCAGUAAUACACGCGGAAGUGGAGAUCCCGUCACUUCGAAUCAUUGCGGAGGCUGAGAUCGAUGAUGAUGAAUGGGUAAAGACCUGUCUGGAACAAUUGAGUUUGAUCGAUGAGAAAAGGUUGGCAUCUGUGUUCCAUGGUCAACUGUACCAACGAAGAAUGGCAAGAGCGCAUAACAAGAAAGUGCGUCCGAGGAAAUUCGAGGUUGGACAGUUGGUGCUGAGGCGUAUUUUGCCCCAUUGGGCUGAAGCAAAAGGAAACUUCGCCCCAAAUUGGCAGGGACCGUUUGUUGUGACCAGAGUGUUGUCUAAUGGUUCACUGUAUCUGACAGAUGUUGAAGGAAAGUGCAUAAAAAUGACCAUCAAUUGUGAUGCUGUUAAAAAAUAUUAUGUAUGAUUUCCUUAUUCUAAAUAUACUUGUUUGUAUUUGGAAUAUUUUAAUGAUUGAAAUGAUGAAGGUGUUUUGUUCUGCUAUCCAAACAUUUUUAUCCUUUGUUACCCCUUUGAGCCUUAAUUAUUUUCAUUCAUACACCUCUUUCGGAAUCAACGACACGAUCAAGAAACGCAGCUGCCAAGCAUAAAGUAAAGAAGGAAAAUGAAAAAACAAAGAAGAAAAAAAAGAAGAGAAGAAAAAGAGAGAAAAAAAGAAAACAAAAAAAAUGAAAAGAAGAUAAAAGAAAUGAAAAGAAAAGAAAAAGAAAGAAAAGAAAAAAUCACAACAAAAGUAAUUACGAUAAAGUGAACUACGUUUGUCUUGAUCCUGAAAGGGUAGGUAGGCAGCCUUACUCUGAGGUUCAGUCACACCAAAAUAAAAAUCCGAAAGUCCCCAAGCAAGAAACUGGGGCAGAAGUUGUGAUUCGUUGGGAGAUAUUGGAUUCCGAAAGUUGUAAGUUUAACCCAUUAGAAAUUAUUUUGCCUUUUAUACUCUUUUUUUCUAACCAAUCCAAAAGCCUGCAUUACGGUCCAAAGAAAGACCUUCUGAUCAAUUUUUGAGGAAUGCCAAGUCAAGCAUGUAGUGGUAAUUCGUGGCAUUGGCAAUACUCUGGUUCAAGCAAGAAAAACAAAAGAGAAAAAAAUGAGAGAGUCUUACUGGUGAAAACCCUUACGGGCACCGUAAGGCGAUGGGAGAUGAGAGAAAAUAAAAUGAGAGAGUCUUAGUGGUGAAAACCCUCACGGGCACCUUGAGGUGAAAGUAAGGUGAGAAAUGGCAAGCGGAGAAAGUCUGUUGGCGAAAAUUGUUCGUGGCUACGUAGGAUAAAUGAGGUUAAGGUUUGGGUAAAGUAAUCAAGAGAUGGAAGCUCUGGGAAAUGAAGUAUGACAAUUGAAGAGCUGGUUAGUUGGAUCGGUUGGGCUGGUUAGUCUGAAAUGCAUGUCGUGAUCACUGGUGCCAGCUGUUCCGGUUAGAUAAGUUUCUUUUUUUUCCUUUUCAACAGUCAUCUGGUUUUGGAUUCCUUUUAUCCUUAACUUAUAAAAUUAUUGCAUUUCAUUCUCUUUCGGGGGUUUCGGUUUGUCUAUAUAUUCCAAUGUCAGUUUUGUUCAAUAAAAGGAGAAAAGAUUUCAAAGCCCACUGCCAGCUUCUGAAAAUGGUAAAGCGUAAUGUGGCCUGAGCAAGUCAGCAACAAUGUGAUGUAAAUUUAAAUAGGGGGAGUCGCCGGAAGUUUCAUCGGCAGAAUAUUUGGGAAAUGUUAUGGGAAAUGUGGAGGUUCACGCAAAGAGAGUCGGAAAGGAGAAACAACAGCGGCAAUACAAAAGCAUUCAGGUUGGCAGAAGUUGGGGAACGUGAAAGUCGGUCAGAAAGUGAGGCAGCUCAGAGGAAGUCAGGCAACACAAGGCAAGACAAUGGGAGGAUGAUGCAGCAAGAACGCCAUCAACUAACCACCAUUUUUAAACUAACAAAAUUUUCGGUUAUUGAAACAGGGGCAGAAAAUUGUUUGUCAGGAGGAAUUCUCCGUGAGAGAAAAGCAUGCACUAAUCAAGUUUAAUCGCAAGUGUGUCAUGGGUAAAAUGCAAGAAAGUAAGGAGUGGCAUGAAAAGAUGUUGAAGUCAGGAACCCGCCUGAAAAACAGAGGAGUACAUUUCAGUAUUUAAAUGUUAAGAUUUAUACUUCAGUCUUAUCGCAAUUCAAGUUUUAGUUCCAAUCCUUUUUUAGUAUGUGGUAACAAGACCCUAGUUUUCCCAAACUGGGGCAGAAAAUUUUCGUUGUCUUAUCUAUUUUUGUGAAAUCGGGAGGAAUACAUUUCAGUCAGCAAUCAGGAGCCCACCAAAAGAAUAGAGGUGAUACAAUUCAAGGUGUUUGUUUUAAAUCAAUUCCUUCGUUUAUUUCGGUAGUAAGGUGCCCGCCUGGAGAACAGAGGUCCGCAUUUCAAAUUUCAGAAGUCAGGAGUCCGCCUGGAGAAUAGAGACGUGCACUUAGAAUUUUGAAGUCAGGAGUCCGCCUGAAGAAUAGAGACAUGCAGUUUAAUUGUUUUUGAAGUCAGGAGUCCGCGUGAAGAAUAGAGACAUACAAUUUACUUUUUUGAAGUCAGGAGUCCACCUGGAACAGAGACAUAUAUUUCAAUUUCAGCAUUCAGGAGCCCGCCUGGAGAACGGAGGCAUACAGUUUAAAUUUCAGCAGUCAGGAGCCCGCCUGAAGAACAAAGGCAUGCAGUUUUAAUUUUUGAAGUCAGGAGUCCGCUUGGAGAAUAGAGACAUACACUUCAAGUUAGCAAUCAGGUGUGUGCCUGAAGAACAAAGACAUGCAAUUCAAGUAUGGAGUCAGGAGCCCGCCUGAAAAAUAGAGGUGAUAUAAUUCCAAUUUUAUUUCUCUAUCAAUAUUCUUGUCUGUAUUGAAGUCAGGAGUCCGCCUGGAGAACAAAGACAUACAAUUCAAAAUCAGUAGUCAGGAGUCCGCCUGGAGAACAGAGACAUAUAUUUCAAGUUUUAGUGAUCAUGAGUCCGUCUGAAGAACAGAGACAUAUAUUUCAAUUCCAGCAAUCAGGAGCCCGCAUAAAAAAUAGAGGUGGUACAAUUCAAUGUGUAGUGUUCAGACAAUUUCCUUGUCUAAUUUGAAGUUAGGAGUCCUUAUGGAGAAUAGAGACAUACAAUUCGAAUUUUAGCAAUCAGGAGCCCGCCCGGAGAAUCGAGGUGCUAAAUCUUCAAGUAUUUGAGAUAAGGAGCCCGCCUGAAGAACGGAGGUAUACAAUUCAAGCUUCAAAAUUAGGAGCCCGUCUGUAUAACAGAGAAAGUUUUCUUUGUUUUGUCUCUGAAGUCAGGAGUCCACCUGGAUAACAGAGGAAUACAGUCAAGCUCAAAUUCAGCAAUCAGGAGCCCGCCUGGAUAACAGAGGUAUACAUUCAAGUUCAAGUUUAUUGAAGUUCAGCAAUUUGGAGGGAAGGAACAACAUCUCCAUGCACAAUUUGAAGUAACAACAACGAGUUUCACCAAAGAAAACACAAGACAACAAGGCAACAAGAGAAAAUACAAGACAACAAGACUACAAGGAAGUACAAGAGCAAGUUUGAAGAAUUUAGAUAGGAUUUUUGUAAUCCGUAGUUCAUAGCUUAGGAUAGCUUCUUUUAUUCUUGAUUGGUGUAAUAAGGAAGGUCAGCAAGCAGUAGUAGCAGCAAAUGCAGUGAAAUCACAGCUCCUGGUAGUCCCAGCUACCAGACACUCCCGAACUACACUAACCUGAUUCCUGUUUAGACCAAGAUAUGGAGGCAACCUCUGAAGCAGGAUGCAGUCAAACUUUUUAAAAUGCUUCCUACGGAAUUUUUAAACGGGCAAAAAUCCCUCAUAUUGCUCAUUUUAUGUUUGCCCGAAACCUUUCAUGUUUCCGAGCAAAGAGGGGCAGCUGUGAGCACGUGAUUUUUCCCUACAUAUGAAUCAUUCCCAUAAAAUUCAAACAAAAAUAAUUUUUCUUUAUUUUACAAUUUUUGUAUCAUUCUCUGUUAAUUGUUUGCAUUUUUGUUUGUCACGAUAAUUCAUAAAAAUACAAAAAUAUGCAUUUUUGGCAUCUAGGAAUUAAUAUCACAUUUUAGCAUUAAUUAAAGGUUAAUUUGUUUUAGCAAAAUAUGAAAAUCAUAAAAACAUAGUUCACUCUUGCUUUUUAAUUAUUUUAUUAGGAAUUUUUCAUAAAUUGGUUUACACAAUUUUAGGAAUUAGUUAGUCUUUGCUUUGAAGUGCAUUAGGAUUUUAGGUUGAUUUUGCACCUUUAUAAAAUCAGAAACAAAUAAUACAAAAUGGAAAAACAAACAAAAAACAUAAUAAGGAAAUAAAAAGAAAUCAAAAGAAAAGCUUUUAAAAGAGUUGGUCUUGCAAAAGACCAAUUUUGGGCUGAUUUUUGAAUCAAAAUUGCCUGGACCAAAACAAAUUCACGCCUAGCCCAAGUCACACUCAUACCCGCUCCAAUUGACCCAUCCCCAGAGCCGCCUAAAGGACGGCUUUUCAGUCGCCAAGCAAUCCCAGCCCUUGAUCUCCCUUUUAAUCCGACGGCCCAUUAUUUUCUAAGGAAAAUAUUAAACGGUCGGGGAUUAAUUAUAAUCAAUGACAAACAAUCUUCUUCCUUGUACAGACCCUAAUCCUCGCCGGAAUCCCUUGCCGGCGGGAAACGCUACUUUCCCCGUAGGUCGCCAAAUUAACACCGUCGAUUCCCCUUAACAUCCUCUUCCCAUUCCCCGUGGAUAUAUGCUUCGAAUCUUCCUGGAAACCUCGAACGUCCGCUAGAAAUUUUCCGGCCAAAACGCAAAGUAUGCCAAAUACUACCAAAUUUACACCACAGGUUCGCCUGAACCCCUCAUCCCAAGUACCCAAACCGUUUUCUACGAAUCAUCACCAUGACUCUCGAAUUUGGAAUUAAAAUUCGCCGGAAAACCUGAAUUCUUAGAAAGAUUUUCCAAGUCGAUGUCACAUGAUAAAAAAUCCUUCCCCAUGAAGAAACUCACAUGCAAUGGUUGUCCAUUCCCACUAGAGUCGCACGAAAUUUCCUGUAAAUGGUAGUUUAUUUGUUUCAGUUUAUUUCUUUCUUUCUUUCUAUUUCUGUGCAUGUGUGAGUUCUUGGGCCAAAAUUCUCGAUGUUAAUUUUUGUUUGAUUUUCGGUUGAUUUUAUUGUUACGAUUGGUUUUCUCCUUGCUCGUAAUUGUCUUUUCCUUUUCAUUGCUGAUUAGAAUAAGUGUAAUUGUGCUUUGGGGUUUGUGAUUAAGCUGGUGGAUGAUUUUUGGCUUUAAAUUUAUUUCUGAUAGGCUAUUAGGAAUUGAUAGUUUAGUCUGUUAAUCAGGGUUAUUUUUAGACAAGUUACUGCACAUCUUAGUUCAGGGAAAGGGUAAGUGGUCUAGUAUAGUUAACUUUAGUUAGUAAUUUUAGGGGGUAGUGAAGGGUAUUGUGGGCAUUUGAUAAUAGGAUACAAUAUUGUGGAUAAUGCUAGAACCUUUUAGAAUAGGGUUGUAGUUUUAAUAUCAGAAAGUUGAGUGUUUUCCUUAAAGCAAAAGUUAAUAACUUAGGGAUUGAAAGUGUAAAUUGAAUAGGGAUCUAAAGGGUGAUUUAAAAUCUGAGUUCACCUAUAAAAGGGCAUAGAAAUAUCCUUGCUAGGGUUCUUCUUUCUUCAGCCAUUCUUGAGCUUAUUAAACCCUUCUCCAUUCUUCCAAUUUGAAGGAGACCAUCUUAAUUUCAGAAAACACCAAAAAAAAAAAAUUCAAAAUAAAAAAUGCCAGUUACUAUUUCAUUGGGAUCUUAGUUUAAGCUCAAGUCCUCUUGAGUAUUUGAUUGUUGUUUCUGAUAGCUACUGGUCGAUUUCAAGGCAUAAUUGAUUUCUCAAAUUUUCUAGGUUGUUUUUGAGGCUAUUCGAGUUGGAUUUGUAGUGUUAUUGAGUUUCAAAUUCAUCUUACUUGCUGGAUCUGUUCCUGGGAGCUGAAAUUUUCUGGGUUGUUUUUGAGGCUAUUCGAGUUGGAUUUGUAGUGUUAUUUGAGUUUCAAAUUUAUCAUGUUUGCUGGAUCUGUUCCUGCGCUUUGUGACUUCAUUAUUGGAUUAUUUGAUCAUUUGUAUGACUGGGGAUUAGUUGUUUGUUGCUGAUGUUGCACUGCUUCGCUGACCUCCUCUUUCUUCUUGUUUGAAUCUUCAUUUUCCAGGUACUUGUUCAAAACUGGCUAGUGUAGGUGUUUGAAUUGAAGCUGGAAUGAAAUGGUUCUUAGGAAAUUUCAUGUAUUCGAAUUAUAGCAGAGUAAUAGAUUUGUAUGAACUUUGUUUGGUUUAAUCUAUAUAACUAGGUUAAUAUGAUAUAACUUUUGAGUUAGACCUUUAACUGGUCUGUGGUGUGUAAAAGCAGCUGAUGGCUUUUGUUGCUUGGAUACUGUUGGGUAAUCAAUCAUUCUGGGAUAAAAUUGAUACUUGUUUAAAGGGAGAUAACCAUUCUAAUUAUACACCAAUCGACUUUAAAGGCUAGUUUGGAAUUUGCAAAGCAUGAUUCAUAAUUAGUUUAAUAAAUUAAUUGUGUUGAGUAAACUAUUAGAUUACUUUUGAUAAGUAUUUUAGUCUGUUUGAUUCUGGGCCAUUUUUAGUUAAAAUAACCAGGUCGUCAGCAUAUGAUAAAACAAAGCGUCCAUUUGGUGUGGGUUUGGAUUUGGGAUUUGAAUGAGUUAUCUUGCUAAAAGGACCGCGUUGGUUCAGGUAUUCGAUCCCAGGUUGGGCGUCAGAGCCGCCUAGGCCAAUGUUCAUUAUUUCUGGGCCUGAAACAAUUGGGCCUUAUCACAUCCCUAUCAUGCAGGCCAGUUUAGGAUAAGAAAUAAUGUGAUUUUAGUUUGACUUGAUAUAAUGCUUUUCAUUAUUAAGCUGAUUUUAUUUCUUUACUAGGGCAAAAAUCGAAAAAAUAGAAAAAAUUGUAGUCACUUUUAGAUUGGCCUUUUAAUAAAAUGUUGAGACGAGCCUCGCCAAAAAAAUAAAUAAAUGCGGGGCCCUCGAUAAAUAUUAUAAGAAUUGAUUAGAAUAUGGGAGCGCAGUUUAGUGAAUUUCAUGGCCUUUCCCAAAUAAUAUUACGUCGGAAUCUUUAGACGUGUUUUAAUUAAAGUACCUUCUUAAACUCGUAUGUGCAUUGAUGCGACCCAAAUCCAAAUCUCGACGAAGUCAAAAUGUGUUGAUAACCAUGGGUGCCUUGAUGGCGACGGGGUUAGAAACACAUUUUCAUAACGUCGUAAUUCUUAUAAAACAAAUAAUGAUCGAAAAUUGGUUAAAAAAUGGAGACGAGCCUCACCGAAUAAAAAGAAUUGUGGGGCCCUCAAUAAUUGUUUAUAAAAAUAAUUAGAAUUUGGAAGGACCGUUUAGCGAAUUUUAACGGCUUUUUCCCAAAUAAUAUUACGUUAGAACUUUUAAGCGCGAUUUAAUCAAAUUGCUUCCUUAAACUCGAGUGCGCAUUGAUGCGACCCAAAUCCAAAUCUUGAUGAAGUCGAAAUAUGUUGGCGAACACGGGUGCCUUGAUGGCGACGUGGUCGAAGACACGUUUUCAUGACGUCGCAAGUCUUUUUAAAUAAAUAAUGAUAAAAGCAGUUUAUAAAUAAAAGGCAUAUAAGUUAGCAUGUAAUAAAAUCAGAUAAAAUCAAAUACAACAGUUAAGCGACCGUGCUAGAANNNNNNNNNNNNNNNNNNNNNNNNNNNNNNNNNNNNNNNNNNNNNNNNNNNNNNNNNNNNNNNNNNNNNNNNNNNNNNNNNNNNNNNNNNNNNNNNNNNNNNNNNNNNNNNUGGAACCCCGGAAUGCCUAACACCUUCUCCCGGGUUAACAGAAUUCCUUUUCCGGAUUUCUGGUUCGCGGACUGUAAUACAAAGUCAAUCUUUUCCUCGAUUCGGGAUUAAGCCGGUGACUUGGGACACCAUAAAUCUCCCAAGUGGCGACUUUGAAUAAUUAAUAACCAAAUCCCGUUUUGAUUAUCCUUUAAAUGGAAAAACUCCUUUACGCCCCUUUGCGGGGGUGUAUAGCGAAAAAGGAGGUGAGACAACUAUGCACAUGAUGUCCCCCUUAUACGCGGAAAGCUUGAUCGUACUCUCUCCGAGCACGCGUAAAAAUGGUUACGGCCAUCUCCAAAAGAUAAAAGGCUACAACCAUCUCUAGAUUAAAAAUGGCUAUGGCCAUCUCUAAAGUAAAAAUGGCUACGACCAUCUCAAAAGUAAAAAUGGCUACGACCAUCUCUAAAGAUAAAAUGGCUACGACCAUCCCCAAAGAUAAAAUGGCUACGAUCAUCUCCAAAGUAAAAAUGGCUACGGCCAUCUCCAGAGUAAAAAUGGCCACGGCCAUCUCCAAAAGAUAAAAGGAUACGGCCUUCUCCAAAUGAUUGAAAUGGCUAAGGCCAUCUUUAAAUUAAAAUUGGCUACGGCCAUCUCUAAAGUAAAAAUGGCUAUGACCAUCUCUAAAGAUAAAAUGGCUACUACCAUCUCCAAAGUAAAAAUGGCUACGGCCAUCUCCAGGGUAAAAAAUGGUCACGGACAUCUCCAAAAGAUAAAAGGCCACGGCCACCUCUAAAUUAAAAAUAGCUACGGCCUUCUCCGGACGAUUGAAAAGGCUACGGCCAUCUCUAAAAGUAAAAAUGGCUAAGGCCGUCUCCGAAGAAUAAACGACUACGAUCGUCCCUAACGCAUAAACGGCUACGGUUAUUGGCGGAAUCCGCUCAUCGAGCUCUACCUGAGCCCGACCUCAAUAAGCGGAGGGACUAUCUGUAUUGGCCAAAACCUGACCUCAUGAUAAUGAAUGAGAUCAACGCAUUUAUUAAAGCCUAUUUAUGACUAAUAAAUGGUAUGACCAUUCAUUCACAAGAUUAUCGGGUAGUUAUCCAAUUUGACAACUAAGGCCACAACGUGGCCAUCCUCACGAGGGCGUCCCCUCUAUGUGGUUCCAACCCCUUGGCGCAAGCCGGCAGAUCUCCUAGCUAUAAAUACUAGGAGAAAGAGCCCUAAAAGAGGGGUUGCUUCUUCUUCUUCGCAUCUCCUUCUAAAAGAAGAGAGAAUACAUCAUUGUAAGGCUCUGAACCUCUCCAUGGAGAGGCAGACCGAACCAACAUCAUUAAUAAAAGAUCCUCAUCCUCCUCCCUUUAAUCUGUAACUGUUGUCUCUUAUAUUUUAUUCCUUUGGUCUUUGGAUUCAUUACGAUCUGUUAUGAUUGGCCCUCCAUUUAUUUUGAUUGUUUUAUGCUUCUAAAGUAAAUGAAAACUUUGAGCUAAACAAUCGACUGUUCUCCUCCCUUUAAUUUAUAACUGUUGUCUCUUAUAUUUUAUUCCUUUAGUCUUUAGAUUUAUUACGAUCUGCUAUGAUUGGUCCUCCAUUUAUUUUGAUUGUUUUAUGCUUCUAAAAUACAUGAAAACUUUGAGCUAAACAGCCUUAUCUUUAUGGUGGGAUUAAUUCACUUAACAAGUAUUAUAGUAUAAUCUUUUCAUUUCUCCUUUUCAAUAUAACGUACAGAAAAGAGAAACUUGGCAUAAUAUGUACUAGGGGGGACAAAUUAAAAUAUUGGAGGAAUAUAGAAGUUCAUGACAUAAUUCCUUAUAUGAAAACGACAAUCCCCAAAAGGAGAAUUAGAAUUGUUGUGGUAUGUAGGUGAGAACAUAAAACUGGUGCUAAUAUUAAAUGACGAGUUAAAAUUCUAAGAGGGCCCUGAAUAAUACAAGUGAGAACACAUGGUGGUAAUUGGAGUUGCCGUCUUCUCGUUUCACACGUGUAGAAUGUGUCUAUUUCUUUCUUCCUACUUUAGUAUAGUACGUAGUCAUAAUAAUAAUUAAUGAAGUUUUAACCAAAAAAGCACGUGGAUCUUUAUGUGUUCUAUAGAAAAUAUAUAUAUGUAAUGAUUACCUGUCCUAAAUCAAAUGAUAAACACAUCUUUCUGAUCCUGAAGCCUCCACCAUAACAGUACUACCUACGUAUUGCUAUAUCGGCAUUAUUACUUGUGAAAAAUGUAGUAUCUGGCUUCAAAUGCAUGGACUGAUUUCUAUAAACAGGCAACACCAUCUUUUGCUGGCUUUUAUUCCUAGCCGAGAUAAUUAAUUACGUAGUACUUUAGAUCUCAUAAUUAUUGAUAAGCUCUAAUUUUUGUAUUUGUGAUAUUUAGCUAAAUACAAUUGAUUUAUCCUUUUGGCCUCUUUCUAAAAAAGGAAAGAUAUGUUAUAUUGGAAAUAUUUUUAAAAGUAAUGACCUGCAAACUAUAGUUCAAUUUUUAAAAUUUGGUAUAAAAGUAGUUGGCUCAAAAGAUAAUAAAAUCUUUUUGAACAAAUUAAUCAAUGAAGAAGGGGUAAAUUAUAGUCAAACGUAUUUGAUACCAGAUCGGAAG
rnacentral:lncRNA from 1 species